UGAAUAAUGCAAACAUUCAAUGAAAUCUUUGGCAUGUUAAUUCUUUGCAGCUUCAACAUGGUGGCAUGUCGGAUGGCGGAGGCAGCAUUUGAGCUUCUGGGUGUUUACCAUUUUUCACUAUGAACGCAGUUUCCAUGCCCCAAGUCACAUGGCGUUCUACAUGGCAGUGCAUGAACCACACUCCUGCAAUAGAGAAAAUAUACCAACAUUACACCUAACUUAUUGCAAUAUUAAGAAAAAUUAUUUCAAGGGUUUUUUUUUUAAUAGAGGAUGUGAGUGCUUGCAACAUACCAGGGUUGGAUGCCUCGAAUCUGAUUGCAACCCAACCAUUCGUAGGAACGGAGAUGGUACUCUGAAGGGGAGGAUCCACCAGAUUAUAGCGCAAAGGGUCCCUAUUUUUAUCAAAAUUCCCAAAUCCCCAUCCAACAAGGUAGAAACUGUAUCCAUGGAGAUGCAUGGGGUGGUGUGUCCCUGCAACCAAGUUUGUCCCUUGAAAAACAAUCUCCACUGUGGAGUUAUACUCGAGCACCCUUACUUCUGUUCCGAUUUCUGGCGUCUGAUACUCUAAUGGAAGAUAAUCAGCUGUAAAAUCGAACACUAGUGGUGGAACGCUAGGAAAUUUAUCUCCAUAUACACCACUGAUGUUAUAAUAGUAAGCUUGUAGUAUGUCAAUUGUAGGGGAUUGGAAGCUUAUGUUGUUUAUACUUGCGGAGAAUCGCGUCCCAUUGGGCCCUGCACAUGAAUUAUUGGGGCAUAGGAACGAGUUUACAGAAACAGUGUAAAUCAGUUUAGUGCUCGGGCUCAAUGGGACAUUGGAAGGAUGUUCCGCAUCUGCUAAGCUUCGGAGGCCAGCCAUGACCUGAACCGAUGCAUUUGUGUCAUUAUAUGCAGGAAAAUGAGGCAAGGAGAGAGGUGAAGAUGGAGUGUAGUAUCCUCUGUACUGUACAAUAGCUGUGGUGGUUGUGUUAUCAUAAAAAUUUUGAGCUACCGGGGCAAUGGAAUAAGUUUUAGCCGCCAUGUAAUAGUGAUCUGGGAGUUGGUUAGCUUCUAGUAAGACGUCGAAGGUUUGGCCAGGAUAUAUUGUGAUAUAAUCUCGUGUCAAUGGUUUCGUGUAGCUACCAUCUGUUCCAACCACUGUCAUUUUAUGCUUGGCAAUGGAGAAGAAGAGAGCCUCAUGCAAGGCAGCAUUGAUUAUGCGAAGUAGAUAGGUCUUUCCAUGAUCCACUCUUAGCUUGAAUGUGCCUGCAAUUAGAAAGGAAAAGUUGUAUACUUAUGACUAGCGAAAAGAAAAAAACAUUCCAUGAGCAUCCACCAAUUAUGAAGUGAUUGAUUAAUUAAGGGUGUAAAUUUGGCUCCAUAGUUCAAAAUUAUAUUUGGACUAGCCUUUUCUUAUGUGUUAAGUCAUGGCUCUACCAUCCUCAUAGCUAUAUUCCUCUUUCUUAGCAUUAAGUUUUAAAUAUGUUUAUAUUAAUAAGAAAAAGUAAUAUGGUUAACAUACAAGAAAAUGACAUCAAUGCACAAUUUUAAAAUGGAAAGUUAAACUUUAUACCGGAUUUUGAGCAUGGAUAUAGAUCACCGGGUUGUCCAUUUAUCAAUAAAGAAUCAGAGGCAUUAGGGUCAGCUCCGGUUGCAAGCCCUUCAUCUCGAACCGCAUUCACAUCACUCUUCCACCAUUGUCCUGCAUUUCAACAACUCCAAUAAUUUAGAUUUCGCUUUGUUAGUUAAUUCAUGAUAUGUAAAUUAACCUUUAAAAGGAACUACACUUAUACCUAAUAUGAUGGGAAUUUCUGCAUUAGGUUUGGGAAAAGGAUACUUGGUUCCAUUCUUGGGAUAAACGAUUAUAGCUCCAUGAACGGUGGCUCGGGUCCAGUCACUGUGAGCAUGCCACCAUAGAGUGCCUUCCUCGGAGGAAAGGAUGAUCUUCUGGCUAAACUUUGACCCUGGUUGAAUUGGGCAUUGUGUGAUAUACUCGGGACCAUCUGUCCAUGGAUAUCUAGGCAUAUUCACCCCAUGCCUGCAAAACAAUAACUAUACGUUAAAACUAGUACUAAUUUUCGAACUAACAAAAGAUGGCAUGUAGCAACAUAUUAUCAUAGUAACAAGAGGCAUCAACUGUAUUUCAAUGGAACCAAUGCAAAUAACCCUAAAAUAUUAUUUUAAAUUUAACUUUAUUUGCAAAGCAAUACAUUGCAGCCCCCUCUUAGAAAUAAAAGAAUGUAUGUCAUGGAGGCAUGCUGCCCACUGCUAUCUUUCUCCGAGACACGAUAGGACUUACCAGUGAAUGGUGAUAUUUUCUUUUCCCCUAUUAUAAACAUCGACGAUGAUCGUCUCUCCUUUCUUAGCAUAUAUAGUUGGUCCAGGAAAUUGUCCAUUUACUGUUAAGAUGUUCUUGGUGCUACAAAGCCUUGUAUAUGAAGCCUCCUUCACCUGCAACCAAUUAAAAGUUAACCAUGCAACCUCAUCCCAAAAGAAAUAUUACAAGCAUGAAUAGUUGCAUCGAUCCACUCAUGCAAGUGUAUAACCAAUAAGAAAUUGAAAGCAUGCAUGAACGACUCAAUGACACCAGGGUACCCGAAGACACCAUGAGGGUCAUACGGUGGAAAAUGAGAGCCAUACUGCUCCCUAAAUAUCAUGAACAAAAGAUGGUGUUAAGGCUAGAAUCAUAUAAGUAUUUACCACAAAAGUAAGCCGACGAGUUGAAGCUUGGCAAUGGAUGCCACCACCAAAAAGUAGAAACGCUAAAAUUUGCAGGAGGAAAACCUUCAUGAUCAGCCACAUCUUCUUUGGAAUAAAAGCCUCUUCUCUUGUCCUAAACACAACUCCUUCAAUUUUCUUACUAUUUCUAAUAAGCACGACUUAUCUUCUCUUUGACAUGAAUAGAUGAAUUCUUAAAGGUAUUUAUAGAGGCUGGAGAGAACCAAAACUGGAAUUGGUGAAAGCUGAACAGCCGGUUUCUCUCGAACUUUUGAUGUAUUUUUUUAAUAUAUAAUUCAUAAUCUAUUCAAGAUGAUUUUCCUGGGGUACAACAAUUCCUUGCCGCGUAUCAAUAUAAGAGAAGUAAUUCGAAUGUGUAUUGGUUUUGAAUGUUCUUCCAGGACCACUUCAAAGAGCAGGUUGUGUAUGAUAUUUGAUUACUCACCAAAAUUUAAAUAAACCAAAUGCCUGAAGAAUGCUAACAAUUGUGAAAAUUUCUCACAGCUCAGCUUCAAUCAGGCUGUGUACCAUAGAAGACGAGUUUCUUAGAAUCUCUUGAAUUUUCUAAUUCAAAAUACAAGUUUGACUUUGAGAAUUGACCAAGAAAUUAAUCAAACACAGUAUUUUAGAACAAAUAUAAAAUAUAUGUAGAAUAUUUUUAAAACUUUGACCUCGCAUAUAUACAGUACCUUUAUCAAGAUUAGUCAAUAUUUUUUCUUUGUUUUUGGUAGGAAGGGAAAAGUCAGCGCUAUAAUCAUAAUCCAUCAAAGAUACACUAUAUGCUACCAUGGGCGUACCGGCCAUUAGUAAUGGGCCAAAAUGUUCCCCAUGAUUAAAAAUAAAAUAUAAUCAUGGCAUAAAAAUCUUGACCCUCAUUUUCAAGAGGUGACUUUCUCCUAGAAAGAAUUAUUUUCCUUUUUAUUUUCUCAUCGGGAGAAAGUUGGAGAUUCACAUUGUUUAUAUUUUUAUAAUAGUUUUAGUUUAGUUUUAAAGCUUCCAAAAACUUCUCCCUUAUUUUUAUUUAUUAGGUUGGCUCAGUCCACUUGGGUACCCAAAAACAAACCCAAUAAAUAAUUAUUUAUUGAAUUGGGUCAAUCCCAAUAUUUUCAUAACCGAAUCAGACAUUGAAUUAGAAAAAUUAUCGAUUCAUACGUCACUGGUCAGACUAGUGACCGAACCGAUGACAUCAUACAUACAUAAUUUAUAUUUUAUUAAAAUUAAAAAUAAUUUUAAAAUAUAUAUAUAUAUAUAUAAUUAAAAAUUAAUAAUAUUUGCAAUAUUAUUUAUUCAUUUUUAUAUAAAUGUAUUAAUAUUGUUAAUUUAUUAAACAAAAUAUACAUAAUAUUUAAAUAUGAAAAUAUAUUAAAAUGGGUAUAUAUAUAGGUAGUCUUUGAGUCAACAUGCAUAACAAGAUUGGACAUCAAUUAAUUCAUUUAAUAAUUAUGUUGAUUAGUUUAAUUAUACUUUUUAAAAUAUUUAACUCAUAUUUGACACAUUUUAAAUUUGAUUUUAGAUAAAUAGGUUAAUCGAGUCAUAAAUAUAUUAGUCAUAUAAAUUAACACAAGACCUAACUCUACUUAAUUAUUAAAUGGGACAUAUGAGUUACACGAUAUGUUACUUGUUUAGUAAUUAUGUAGUAUUUUAGGUUUACGUUUUUAACCAGAUUAUUAUUCGUGUCGAGUUUGACACAACACAAAUAUGACCCACCAACACAAAUUGUAACCCCUAAGCUUGUUCACUCAAAAAGUAAAUUUAUACUAAUAUUUAAUUACCUAGUUUAAACUAGUAGAAAUAUUUUUAAAUUAUUGCUUAGUUUUUUUAAAAUUGUUAAUAUUGGUAUAUGUAUAUAGUUUCUCUAAAGACAUUCCAUUGAUGUAGAAUUCCAAAUAUAAUUUGUCUAUAUAAAUAUAUCAUAUAUUUUUAAUAAAUAUAUAUAUUGUAAGUUAAAUAUUAUAUUGUAUAAUAUGUUGUACUAUAUGCAUAACUACUAUAUUACUAUUUUACAAAAUAAAAAAUACACUAUAUAAUAGUAAUAUAUUAUAUACAUAAAAAGUUUUUGUGUAAAGUAUCGAACCACAUUUUAAUUAAUAAUUGAUUAUUUUAUUUUCAAAUAAUCUAAUUAUGUAUUUAUUAUUUUUAAUUAUUAAUAGCUAAUUUUUCAAAAGUGAUUUGUUAUUAAGAAUAAAAUCAUAAAUUAUGCCAUAAAACUAGUAAUUGUUAUAGAUACUAAUUUGUUAAGGAUUAUUAUUAUUAUUAUUAUUUACUUGCAUACAUUGUUUAAUAAGAUAUUUAAUUUAAGUUUUAAAUUCCUUACUUUAAAUUUUCAAUCUUAUUUUUAGUCUAAUUUUUAAUCUAUAAAUUCUAAUUUUUAAUUUUAAAAUUUUUAAUUCCUAAAUUUUAAAGGGGAAAUCAUGUAACCAUACAUCACCAAUAUAUAUAUAUAUAUAUAUAUAUAUGAGAUUUUUAGAACUUUGCUUUUACCUUUUUAAUUUUAAUGUAAGAUGAGAAAAAAUAUUUCCUAUUCAUGUACUUCAAUAGUGCUUUUAGAUUUGUUCCAUAAUUAUAAAGUAAAUGACAAAAUACACAUCACUUUAAUACCACCUAUUGACAAGUACAUGAAUCAUUUAUUUUUCUUAUUUCUCUCACACGUCUCACGUACCACUUGCCACAUUUCCACUUUUUUCUUUUUUCCUUCUUUCUUUUACCACCAUAAUCCAUAGUCACCUAUUAUAUUUUUCAUUCCUAUUUUUUUUUCCUUUGAUACUCUUUUUAAUAUGCUCAUAUAAACUUCUUUAAUUUAAAUUUUUUUUCACUCUCUAAUUUCUCUAUAUUUAUUGAUUAUAAUUAUUUUUUGGACAUAUUAUACUUAAAAUGAUAAUGUAUAAUAAAUAGUUAAUAUAACAAAUAAAAUAAAAUAAAUGUAUAAUAGACAAAAAUGAAAAUAUUAUCCCACAAAUAAUGUACUUUAUGAUUUUAAAUAUUAAUUAUAUUAAUAUAUUGAAUAAAUUAAGGUUUAAAUUUAAAUAUUUUAUUUUAUUAUUUAGAGGUUUAUGAUAUAAGACUUUUUUUAUAUUAAUGCUAAACAAAAGAUUUAUUUAUUUUGUAAAUUCUAUCACAUGAAAAAGUAAAAAUAUCUUUAUAAUACUAUUUUAUUAUUUAUAUUAUUUUUUAAAUUUUUAUUUUAAAUUUAUCACAUCAAAAUCACAAUAAGUUAUUGUGCUUUUAUCUAUUUUCUUAUGAUUUUAAUUUGAUUGUGGAUCUAACAUUUUGUUUGGUUAAAAUCUUUAAUUUUUAAUUAAAAUAAAAUAUAAAAGAAAAUAUAUUUUUCAUAAAAAAAAAUUGUGUUUAACCUUUCAUAUUAAUUUCAUGAAAAAUAAGUACAUCCGUGAGAAAAAUAGGUAAAUCCAUGCCUAGGGGAAUCGAGACCCCUAUCAUCCUUGUCAUGGUCUAUAUAUUCCUUUGGAACCCUUGAUAAGUGAUUGGAGGUCCUUGCCCACCCCAGAACGAACUUUGGAAUCCUAGGUACAUCCAUUCUUAAGGGAACCAAGACCCUUAUAUCAAUUCUCAUGGUUCAUAUAUUCCUUUAGGGAUCCUCGAGAAUGAAUUAUAGGUUGUUCUUCACCUUGGAUUAGACAUUAGAACCCAAGGUAUAUCCUAAAGACAAUUUGGUACAUUCGAUCCUUGGGCUACCAAAACCCCUAUAUCCCUUCCCAUAGUCUAUUUGAUACUUUGAGGACUCUUGAGAAGUGAAUGGAGGUCAUUUCUAAUCUCAGAAUGGACUUUGGAACCUUAGGUACAUCCUUAAAAAAAUUUGUUACAUCAAAUUCUCGGGCUAUUGGGACCCCUAUCUCCUUUCCCAAGGUCAAUUUGUUCAUUUAGGGAUCCUCGAGAAGUGAUUGGAGGUUAUUCCUCACUCCAAAAUGGACUUUUAAACCCUAGAUACAUCUUUAAGAAAAUCGGGUAUAUCUUAUCCUCUAGCUACCCAAUAUCGCUUCUUAUGGUCCAUUUGAUCAUUUAGAAUUGAUUUUAAGUUGUUCCUCAUCUCAUAAUGGACUUUGGAACCCUAGGUACAUCCUUAAGAAAAUUUGGUACAUCCAAUCAUCAGACUACUAAGACCCCUAUCACCCUUCCUAUGGCCCAUUUGUUCCUUUAGGAACUCUUGGGAAGUGAUUGGAUGUCAUUUUCCACCUUAGAAUAAACAUUGGAACCCUAGGUACAUCCUUAAGAAAUUUUGAAACAUCUAAUCCUUGGGACACCUAUCUCCCUUCCCAUGGUCCAUUUAUUCUUUUUAGAGACCCUCGGGAAGUGAUUGGAGGUCGUUCCCCACAUUGGAAUGGACUUUGGCACCCUUGGUACAUCAUUUACAAAAUUUAGUACAUCAUUUACAAAAUUUGGUACAUCAGUCACAAAAAUUGGUACAUCCUUAAAAAAAUUUGGUACAUCUAAUCCUUGAGCUAUUGGGACCCCUAUCUUAUUACCCAUGGUUCGUUUAUUCCUUUAGGGAUCUUUGGGAAGUGAUUAGAGGUUGAUCCUGAGCUACUUCGAAAUGGACUUUGGAACCCUAGGUACAUCCUUAAGAAAAUUUGUUAUAUCCGAUCCUUGAGCUAACAGGACACCUAUUAUAGACCCCUCAUUUUGACCAUGACACACAUAGGUUACCAUCUAAUAAAUCAUUGUAAUUCAUCGACUUGUAAUCUUUGAUUCUUUCUCAAAGCUUCUUGGAGGAUAAUUUAUAGAAAUUUUGAUGUGAUCACAUAAACCUUUGAAUUUGUAGCUUAAGGCCUUCUGAUUGUUCUAACUUACCAUUAACAGUAAUUUAAAACAAAAUUAUUGAAUCCUUAUUUUUAAAAUAUAAAGCAAAAUAAAUUACUUCUUUGAAUAAUAAAAAUAACUAAAAAGAUGUAUAUAAUAAAAUUUGGUAACAAAUUAAAAGUAGAUUUUAAUACAAACAACUUAACAUGAUUCAAUUUUUUUUAUUAAGCAUUAUUUUUCAAAUUAUAAAGGCCAAUAUAUGAGUAAUAUUCUUUCUCUUUUUGUUUCAUAAACCAUAAUUUAAAAUAAAGUUUUUACUAUUGUCAUUAAAUAUACAUUUUGAAACAUAAAAUACGAUAUCUCUUUAAAUAUUUAUUUAAUUUCGAAUGUGCCAAAAAUCCCCUUUUUCCAUCAAUUCUAACUACAACAACUGCCAUUCAAAAAUCCCAUGCCUAUGCUAGCCACAUAUUCACAAGUCGGACUUUUUUAACUUUUGCGGCAAUUUUAAAAAAUAAUUAUUAAAAAAUGGUAGUUGUGAACAUAUUGAUAGAUAUACAUCAGUUUUGGCUACGUGGAAGGUGUCUUUUGAAGAGACACCUUUCACAAUUUUUAAAAUCAUGAAAGAAUUGAAUUUAAGCUAAAGGUGUCUCUUGAAGAGACACCUUCUACAAUUCCAAAAAAUUGGAUUUAUAUUAAAGAUGUCUCUUGAAAAGACACUUUCCACAUGGCAAAAAAUCCAAUAUGCAUUAAAGGUGUCUCUUGCAAAGACACUUUCCACGUGGCAAAAAAUCCAAUAUGCAUUAAAGGUGUCUCUUAAAGAGACACCUUCCACAAUUUGACAAAUUUGAAUGUCUCAUGAAUUUGAUUUUGAAGUUAAAGAUGUCUCUUAAAGAGACACCUUCUACAAUUCCUAAAACUUUUAAUCUAUACAAAAUGUGUCAAAGGUGAAGGUGUCCCGUCAAGAGACACAUUCUAGAAUUCCAAAAAAUUAGAUUUAUACUAAAGGUUUCUCUUGAAAAGACACUUUCCACAAUUCCAAAAAAUCCAAUAUUUAUUAAAAAUUGUAGAAAUGAUUUUAAAGUUAAAGAUGUCUCUCUUCAAUGUAUGAAAAUUGUGGAAAGUGUCUCUUUAAGAGACACUAAAGAGACACUUUCAGUAUAAACUCAAUUUUUUUAAAAAUAAUGGAAGGUGUCUCUUCAAGAGACACCUAUAAUUCAAUUUUUGGGAAUUGUGAAAGGUGUCUCUUGGCACCUUCCACAAUUUUAAAAAUAUUGGAUUUAUACUGAAAGUGUCUGUUCAAAAGACACUUUCUACAAUUUCCAUUCAAAUAGUGAAAAAUUUCGAAUUUAUGUUGAAGGUGUCUCUUGAAGAGGCACCUUCCAUAAUUACCAAAAAAAUGGAAUUAUAUUCGGACGCCUUUCAUAAUUUUUAAAAAAUUGGGUUUAUACUGAAAAUGUCUCUUGAAGAGACACUUUCCACAAUUUUUUAGUGGAAAAUUUCAAAUUUUGAAAAGGGACAUUCUAUAAUUCCCAAAAAAUAGAAUUAUACUAAAGGUGUCUCUCCAAGAGACACCUUCCAUAAUUUGAAAAAAAAAAAAAGGGUUUAUACGGAAAGUCUCUUCAAGAGACACUUUCCACAAAAUAUAUAUAUAUAUAUAUAUAUAUAUAUAUAUAUAUAUAUAUAUAUAUAUAUAUAUAUAUAGGGUUUAAAUAACAAAUUAAUUAUAACUAUUUUAUAAUUAAAUGAAAAAUUUUCAUUUAAUUGAUUAGUAAAAAUAUAUCAUAAUUUUAUUCAUAGUGUUUUUAAUAUUAUUAAAAUAUUAAAAAUUUAUACAUUUAUCAUCAUUUAUUUUAUAAUAUAUCAUAAUUUUAACAUUAAAUAGAUUUUAAAAUUAAACAUGUUAUAAUCACAUAUCACAAUAUUAUCAUCAAAUAAUAUUUUAUAUUAUUUAAUAAUCAAUGUAUACUUAUCAAAUUUAUUUAUGAACUUUCCAAAAUAAACUAUGAAGCAAAUGUUCUUAAUUGAAAUGAGUGUUACUGGUGAACCCGUGAAUGUUUUAUUUUUUAUUUUUUAUUUUUUUAGAACUAGGAAAAUUGGAUGAAGACUAUGUCAAAGAAGCUUAUAUCUUCAGCCAGGUCUCCCCCAUAUUUGUUCAAGUCUAUCUAUCUCAACAUGAGGUGAAUCCAAGUCUGUGUUUCGAAUCAAAUAUCAAUUCAUGAUUCUUGCAUGCUGUCGUAAUAAAAAAUUUUGUAAGUAAUAUAAAAAAAGUGAGGAAGGAGGUUCAAUGUUGUAACUAUCACUACUUUAUAAUCAAAUUGUAAAUUUGGAGUGCUAAAGAAAGCAGCCGGGUUGUAAGUAUUUGGUUUUUCGUCUUCUAUGAACUAGUGCCUGCAUUAUGGCUAAAUUUCUGAAAAGCCAGUUUAUUACUACCUGCUUGUUUCUCUACCUUAAGAUUCUCUCAUUCUCUCUUCUAUUAUCAUUUCAAGCAGCAGAUAGUGACCACUGUCUAGGCUUUUGUGUAGAAACAAAAAGGCUCUGAUCCAUCAUUCAUGCAAGUGACCUUCAGUGAUGUUAUUCUCUUGUGUGGUCUUCUCAGCGAUGGCCCCAUAUCUCUUAAAUAUCCUUUUUGUCUCUAGUUUACCAUUAACCCUGUUUUGAUCUUCACUCUUCAUUGCCAAAACCGUGCUUGAACCUCACCUGGACGAACUUCACUAUUAGACAAGAAUUGAAUUUGAGGCAACACGAACCAUCCAUGUCGAUGAGAAUAUGAAAUUUGGUAUCAAGUGAAGUGGACAAAAUUCAAAAACAAAAACAAAAAUAAUCAAUGAAUUUUAAUUUUUUUUGCAACCCCCGUUUGAUUCCCAAGAAAAUCCAUCCCCCAUUCGAUUUCCGGGAAAAUUCAUCCUCAUUUGAUUUCCGAGAAAAUCCAUGCAAAACCCCCCAAAGAAAACAAAAAAAAAUGCUUUUUUUUUUUGCUCCCUGUGCUUUCUGGAUCUGUUCUAGGGGUCUCUUUCCUUUUGUGCCAUUGGAUUUAAAUUUCACGAACCCUAAAUCCACGAUUUUUGAGCUAGGCUAAAAAACACAACCUUUCCCCGCAAAUCAUGAUCAGAUUACCAAAUAGCAUCUUAUGUUUUUUUAUAAAAAAAAAUUGGACGGAUUUUGUAUCCUGUGCGCGGGCUGGACUGGUUCGGAUACAGUUGAAAGUCCCAGAGUAUGGUUGGGCCACGAGAAGGUGUUCCACUCUCUCAAUUUCCUGGUGAAUAGGGUUAGAUCACUAGUUUUUUAUGUUCCGUAGAAAUGUGCAGCGCCUGCAUCCAGAGAUUAUCCAACAUGUCUUACUUGAUAUGCCAAGUCUUACUUUCUUCACGACCUAUGCGCUUUUGGCAUUGUUCUGGGUAGAAAUAUACUAUCAGGCACGUGCUGUAUCUACUGAUGUACUGAGACCAAGUUUCUACAGAAUUAAUGCAGUGGUUUAUGCCAUUCAGAUUGCUAUGUGCACCUUGGAUUCGAAACUAACCGGUUAAAAACUGAAACCCCUGCAUGUGAGAGAGCAUCACCACAGGCCACGCGAGGGAGCUCGUCAGUCACGUUUUCCAACUGCCAUGCAUUCGGUGAAGCGAUUUUUUGAAGGGAAGUCUCCAGGAGAAGAAUCUUUUUCUGUUGCGGGAGGAGAAUUGACAUAGUCUCUUUUUCUGGGCGUUUUUUUGGAGGAGAGUUCAAAGAUCUUCUUUCUGUAGAAAAUCAUCACAUAAACCGAUUCAAAGAAUUCAGAAGGCUUCUCAUUAGAGCCAAGGUUCACCAUUCUAGAUCUUCAUGAACAUCUCCUUCAUAGUGGCAUUGGCACCCCGAUCCCUGUACGAAUACACAAUCAGCCUGGAAACCUCUUCUCCAUUCUCUGAAUUGCCUCUUCAUCGUUACGGACUGACGCAUUUUGUUGAUCAUCGAUGUCACCUGUGAACUGGAUCACACACAUGAAGAGAUAUCUAAACAUCUCAAUGGUAGGAACCUCCAUGAUUGAUUGAUCUCCAUCAUCUUCGUGAUCGUGCACAGUUCUGAAAGAAGAGACGAGAAUCUCUUCAUCGUCUUCACUCUCUAUGCUUAUAUCUCGAAGGUUAUCCCGGUUUCUAUGGGCAUCGAAUCUCCAUAGAUGAACUCGGAUUCUGCAUUGACCUGAAUCUCGAGCAUGCAUUAUUUCAUGGACGGAUAGAAGAAAAAGAAGAGACUUCCAUAUUGUGCUGCCAAACUUGGUGUUUUUCUUCAUUUAUUCUUCACCACAACAGUUGGACAUAAAGGUUAGUCUCAAUGAAUCUUUACCAUUUGAAUUGGUUUAUUAAUGAUUUUUAAGUUAUUCAUUGAUAAGGUUAAAGGACAAUGGAUGAAAUUGGUUUGUCGAUUUUGAAACUCAUGGCUGUUUGUGAUGUGUCGGUUACUAUGUGAAUUAAAAAUAAAGAAGGAUAAAUGCAAUGAUGGAAUAAUGCAGAAUUGGUUGAUGCCUUGUUAAUAUGUACUAUACUUUUUUUCUAUAUGUUUAGUGUUGUCAUUUUAGUUCUAAGUAAAAUAUUUUUUAAUUACAUUAGUAGCAAUGAUGGAGAAGUGAUAUAGUUGUGUUAAUGGAAUUGUAUGGCUGAAAAUGCUGUGUGAUCCAUGAAAUUUAUGUGGCUAGGAAAAUUAGAGAAGGAAUAGAGGCUGGCUAUGAUUACUUGUUGAAGUUUUAAAGGAAAUAUCUAGAUAUAUGUUAUGGAAUAAUGACAGUUGUAGUGAAUAAUGCACAAUUGGUUAUGGGAUAAUGUUGAUGAUGCUUGUUGAUUUUUUAAUAAAAGCUAUGUAUAAAAAGUGGAUGUAUAUCCAGCCAUAAGUGUUUUUAGUGGCUCUUGAUGAUAAGUAAUGGUGCCUUGUUCAUAUGUACUAUAUAUAUUUUUUUUCUAUAUGUUUAGUGUCGUCAUUUUAGUUCUAAGUAAAAUAUUCGAUUCCUUAAUUCUAAUAUUUAUUGCCAAUAUUUUCACUUUAUUCAUUUCUUCCCACUUCAUGAUUGAUUUUUUUGAAUACAUGUUAGUUUAGGUUGGGUAUGGACAAUUUGGGCCACACGAGUGUUUAUAGAAUUUGAUAUUUAGGAAACUAAAUGAUUAAAUGUGGAUUACUUGAUGAAUUAUGAUUGAGAUUCAGCUAUUUUUUUCUUUUCUUUUUUUCUUCAAAAUUUCUUUUCAUCUAAAUAAACCAUUGGAUAAUCACAUGACAAUUGACUUUGAAUAAACUCUCUUGAUUUUGAUUCAUGGAAAUUUGAUUUAUCUUAAUUUUCUUAAAUAAUUCACACAUAUACACUUACAAUUUUUUUGGUAAUCCAAAUUUAAAAAUAUAUAUGAAUUAUUUUUCCUUUUGAAAAUUUUUUUUAUACCUCAUUCAUAACAGAAUUAAUCUUAGUCUCUUUUAUAAUGAAUUGUUUUUAUAUUUAAAAUCUAUCUUACUCUCUUUUAAGUAUGAAAUUUCAAUUUCUAAAAAGAAUAAUGCUGCCCAUUUUUAUUCGGUAUGGAACUUUGAAAUGUUUUAAAAAUGAAUUUUGGUUUUAAAUGUACGCGAAUUAAAAUUCAUAGUUCCAACUAAUGGAUUCUUUAUGAACUAAUUCAUGUAGAUAAAAAUGGGAUUUAAUAAAUCCCUACAUACAAAAAAAUUUCAAAAAUAAAGUUUUCUAUUGACACUAUUGACAGCCCAGUGCAUAUUUGAACUUGUAAAUUAUAAUCUGACCAUUUAUAGACUCCUUAAAAUUUUUAUAAUUAUUCCAUGAUAUUCUAACUCUUUGAAAUUAAUUUUAGAAUUUUAUUUUGGUAAAAAAUAAUUUCCCAAUUAGAAGAUAUAAAUCAAUCUUUCAGAAGGUUCAGCUUUCACUUUGUUUUUGAUACUUAGUUUUUUUUUGUAAAAUUAAAUUACUAAAAGAUCUCUUUAAAUUCAUUGAAUAUUUUUCGCUUAAUCUAGACCUCCUAAGUUUAAUUUUUGACACAUAAAAUAUUAAUAUAUAAUUACUAAAAAGGGAGAUAUAAUUUUUUUUCUUGAACCUAUUGCACCUGUGCUCUGCUGGAGCUGAAUGAAGUUUACUUAUUGUUAAACAUAUUAUGAAUGUAAUAUUGCCUUGUGAUUAUUUUUCAUUCAAAAUAGACAUGUUAGGCUAGUUUUACGAAUUUUUAUUUUUAUUUUUUAUGAUUUUAGGACAUCUCCAAAUUAAUUUAAAAAAAAUCAAUUGUUGAAUACUUUAACAAAAUGCCCUGUUCUAAACCUACUAUUAGCAUUAUGAAAUCUGGUAUUAAAUGAGAGCUAGUUGAUUAAUUUGAUCACUUGGAUGAUAAACUAGACGUAUAGAAGAUAUUCUCUAAAAAUUUUCAUGAUGAAAUUUAACUUCAAGAUAUUUGUUUUAGAUUUAUUUUGUAGAAACCCCUGGUUUCAACCAUUUGCUAUUUUUUUUUUUUUGCAAAGAAACCCUCUUGUGAAUACAUUUGACAUUGGUUAUAUAUAAGUUUAGUUUUUGAUUCCUUUUUGAAUUCAUUGCUAUUAUUUGUGAAUUAGUCUCAUUUCUAUGAAAGCACUUUAAAACGCUUGUUAUGAAAUAUGUGACUACUUAGAAUACAAUGUGAUGCUAUUGCUUGUUAUUUAAAUUUUGUGUUUUCUAGAAGCGCUUGGAAUGCAAAUUAGGUAUGCUUUUCUUUAUUAAAUUGGUGAAUUAUGUUGAUGUGUUUAGUUAGUUCAUAGUGUAUAUGAAUUAAUCAACUAAUCCUCAUAAUUAUCUCAACUUAGUAGAGAUCUAGUUUUUUAGGACUUAGAGGGGUGUUGCGGUUCUUUUCCGUACCUUUCCAAUAAAUAAUCUGACUCCUGGACCCAACUUGGUUUUCACAUACCCGUCUUUUCUUUUAGGAGUCACAUUUAGGGUUUUUUUUUCUUAUUUUGUUUGUCUUAAAAAAAAACCAAAGUAAGUGGCGACUCCUUUAUUUAUAAAAUUAAUUUUUCACAAACAAAAAGUGAGCCUUGCCAUCGAGUGGGAACGCAUGUGAAAAUACGGGAUCACAAAGUGGCAACUCCACUAGGGAUCUUAGAGGGUCAAAGCUUGAACUUAAGUUAAAGUAAAUUUGACGUUUAAUUGCUUGAUUAAUGAAUACCCUUUCUUUGCGCCUUUGUGUGAUUGUGUGAUUAAUGGCACAUUGAAGAUUUUUUGAUGCUGUAAAUAUCUAUGAUAGAUGCAUGUUAGAUGAUGAUGUUUAUUUAUGAUUGCUUCUCUUGUCUAUUAUGUUUUUCUUAACAUGAUUGAUUGUAUUCUUAUCACAUGCCUAUUAUCCCUUAGCAUGAUGGUUGAUCUAGUUGUAUGUUUUAUUAGAUUAUUAUGUCUUUGUUUAAUUUGAAUAUAGUGAUGGAUGAUUUAUACAUGUAUUGCAUGAUUGAUUGUUGCAUGACUACUCUUCUCUUAUGUGAUUGCUUGUUGCAUGUUCAUGUAGACGCACUUGUAUCCCCUUAACUCCAAUUCUCUAAUUUUGGUCGGCUUUGUUUCCCUUGAUCUUGUAUUAUAUAUGGGUGUGGACCCACAUUUUUCACGCGCACCCCCACUUGAUCAACGAGACUCGCUUUUAUUUGGUGAAAAAUUUAAUUUUGGAAAAGUUAGAGUCGCCACUUAUUUUAUUUUAUUUUAAAGGGAAAAUAAAACAAGAAAUAAAACCCUAAAAAAUGACUCCAUAGUUUUUGAAAAAACACGUGUCUUUGAAAAACCUGAGUCUAGGUCCGGGGAUCAGGUUACUAAUUGGGAAGGUACUUCUAGAAUGUAGCACCCCUUUAAGCUCUACAAAGCUCUCUACUAACCAAGUUGAGGGAAAUGUGGAAUUAACUAGUUGAUCAUGGAUACCUAGGUAGGCUAAGGUGAUUUCAAAAUUAGCAUGCCAAAAAAGAAAAACCAAUCAUACUCAUAAAGGAGAUUUAGGGUGCAUACCUAGACUCCUUCUUAAGCGCUAUCACAAGACAUCAAAAUUAGUUUGGAAAUAUAGCACACAUGUGUUUUAUCCAAGAAAAUCAAGCAUACAUCUAAGCACCUAAGGAUCACAUCAAGCAUAAAUAAGACUCACAACAACAUGCAUGUUCAUAAAAUUUUGAAAAGUAAGUGAUAGAGAGCAUACCUAGAUAGCAUGCAUAAUUUAUAAGAUUCCUCCAAAAAUGCUAGAGUGAUUAAGACAAGUAUGAAUUAUAUAACAUAUUCAUUAUGUCUAAUACACGGUACCAAAGCCAAAAUUGAGCCAAGGUAAGUCAAAUGACUCCAAAAAUAAAUAACGAAUUCAAGCAAUGUACAAGAUCAUCAGCAUGUAAUUAGAAUAGGGAGCAUCAAAAAAACAAUUUCUAAAAAAUGGAUUAGAGUAGAAUUUAAUUACAAAAAAUUUCACAAAACAACUCCUACACAUCUAGAUCAACAUACCGAAGGCCAAACUCUCAUUCAAAGGAUAGAUUGUAGCAAAGACACCUAAAGGUUCUACAAAUUCCAGAUUAGAUAAGAAAAACUGACAUGUGUAAAUGAAUUUUUUAAAAAUAAUAAAUAAUCACAUAAAAUCAUACAAAAAAUCACACACAUAGUUCAAAGUGUCUAUAUCACAAAAAAAUGAAUCUAGGGUCGGAUAGUACUCAAAAAUAUUUUUAAAGCACUCAAGCUAAUCAGAUGUCCAGAAUUCAGCAUGUGCAAUAGGUACGACUUUGAAAAAUCAUAUCUCCCUUAAAGAAGCAUAUAUUUUAAUAGUUUAUAUCUCUAAGAUCAAAUUCAAGAAGCUUAUAAUUAACGAAAAAUAUCAAAUUAAAUUUAGACAGUCGUCCAUUAUUUUAUUUUUGCAUUAUCCAAAACUGGGUGAAAACAGAGCCCUCCUAAAUUUUCAGUUAUAUUUUCUGUUCUGGAAUUGUUUUCUAACUCAAACGAAACUUUAAAUUCAAGUUCAAGGAGUGAGGAAAGUCAUACAAGCUUUGAAUUUUUUUUUAAAAUAUUCUAAAAUUGCUAUAAUGAAUUUAACUCUAAAAGGUCAAUGGUUGAAUGAAAACUGGCAGCAAGGAAAAAAAAAAGUUUUUGAAAAUUUUUGCAACACUAGAAUUUUCCUCUCAAAAUGGCUGAUGCGUUAGGAGAAUGUCCUCCAUAAGGUAUAAAAUUCAGAUUUACAAAAUCAACACUAAACUCACGAUGGGUAGCUGGAAUUUUGAUGUUAUCAAAGGAUUGAAGAGGAAUUUUAGUGGGUACCAUGAAGUACUCCCUAUCCUAGACAGCAAAGAGGAUGAUGGUUCCAAUAAGAAGAAGUCAGGUAUAUGCAGCCAAAAGGUAAUUAGGAAUAGGGAGCACGUGUCUUUUGAAGAGUCAGAGAUUACCAUCCAUAUUGUGGAGAUGAAUGAAUAACAAGUCAAAUCACAGUAGUAUUCUUGAAAUCCGUUUGAUUUCAAAGAUGAAUGUAUGUUCUUAUUGUAGCCAUGCAUUCUCAAUCACUUCUGCAUAUAUUUUGCAUGUAUUGACAAAUUCAAGGCUCGUGGGACCCUUCACGUCUAUGAACAUAUUCAACCGUGGGCGAAUUAUAACUCUUCUUCGGAAACACCCAUCAUCACACUUCCGGCCAAGUCUCUUGAUGCUGUGUGGUCUCAAGAUUCCCCCUCUAAAAAUCUGUUGAAUCUGCUUCAUUGGCGCGUGUGUGGGCUGUACAAAGGAGUUUCUAGAGAUACAUAGAAAAAAUGCGGAAGUGGCUGCUGCCUCCUCCCAUAUGGCUGCGUCAUGGCUGCCUCAUGCGAACAUGGUGGCCUUAUUGUGUCACUCACUUAAGGUGGCCUUGUGAGCUACUAUCAAUGGAGGAAAGAAGGUGACUAUGAGGCAUCAACCCUCCUCGUGCAGUCCAUGCGGCUGCCACUUAACAACAGAAAAAUCUGCUUAGAGAACUCCUUCACCAAAAUCUGCUGAAUCUGCUCCCGAAAAUCCCCAGAUAGCCUCACCAAAACCAGAACCUGUGUGGACCUUCCUUCUCAAAAAAAAAUGGUGCCUCUCUCUCAAUCUUCUAUCCCCCACAAAAGACCACCAGCCUGUGUCUCCCAUUCCAAUCAACUGAAAGAAACCCAAGCUUUUAAAACCCACCCGACUGUUUUCUUCCCGUAUUCAUCCAAUGAACCAGCAGUUUCAGAACACAUUUGCUGACCCCUGAACUCGCAUUCCUCACCUUCUCAAAGUGCAACCUGCUGCCAAAAGAGGAGUGUUGAAGCUUCACUAACUUCACAGCCUCUUAAACUUGCAAUUGCUCCCAACAGGAUGGCACUUGGUGUUGUAUAUUGCAACAAAAGCAUAAACCGAUACAUUUGAUCUCUGGAACCAAAAAAAUUCAUCUUAUCAUCUAAAAGAAUGAUUCCAAUUCCAAUCGAAGUACCAAAAGCCUUGCAACACUAAUUCCAAUUACAGUCCGAAUUCCAAGUUUAGAUUCAUAUGGACCCUCAACGAGCAUUCCUCCAAGGAUAAGCAACACGAAUGGAAUUGUUGCCCCAGCCAAGAUUGAUAAGUUGUCUGUGAUAAAUGAAAGUGGAGCAUCAUAGUCAAAAACAAAAGAUUUGAGCUGAGGAAACAUCCCAAUAAUAAUGGCUAACAGAGAAGCAACUGUAGGAGGUUGAAGUAUGUGCUGAAUUGGUGUUUGUUCAGCAACGAUCCUAAUUCUCCUAACCACCUUCGGCUCCACCAAACACCUAAUGGACUCGGGACUGUUUGGACCUCCCUCCUCCACUAAACCAACAUCAGGAAAAGUACUUGGUGAAAUGCUAGAGAUUCUGGUAAAGACCCUUGCAAUAAAGGGUGUCUUACAAUGCUCGCUUUCUUUAUCUUCCAUUCCUGGCCAUUUAGCUUCAACAAGCAGCGGCCUACUUAAAUCGUUAGCAGUGACCACCUCCUUAACCUCAUUCCCUUCGUCAACAAUUUCAUAAUACUCAAGGGGUGGUUCCAUCAUGUGGUAUGCAAGUGUGUAAACAAGAAUUACAGCAACCCACUGAGCAAAAGAAACAUAAAACACACCAGAGGUAUGACAAUCAGGACCAAAUGGGUUCUUCGCACUGUGGCAUAUUGACCCAACAAUGGCAAGCGGGAGAUUACCCGUGUUCCCAAAUGCAGUCAUGAUGAUGGUAAACCAAAAGAAUUCGGGUGGUGGCUGGCAUAUUAUUGCCACCAAGUACCUCAAAAUGCAACCGACAGCAGUACUGAUAAUGACGUUUACGGGUAUGAACCACCAGAGGACAAAAUUCUUGCCAGUAAUGGAUUGUCCCAAUUGGGUGAAGAUUAAGCAUAGUAGGAAUAGGACAAAAACAAGCUUGCUGAGAAGCCUGAAAGUAGCUUUUGACAUAACUUGGAGUUUUGGAUGGGCGAGAAUUAGGCCUAUGACAGUGAGUGAGAGCAGUUUCAUCAAAGGCACAACUGCUGAUAGCCAAUUUUCUCCACCAGAUUUCACAUUCCCAUCUGAUAGAUCCCAGAAGGAAUCCAUUUUUUUCCCUCUGUCUAAGAGGAAAAAUCCCAAAAGGAAACUUCCAAUGAAUUUGACGAGCUAAGCAAAAAAUCCGAGAAAUCCCUAGAAUUAACACUAUAUUCCAACAACUAAAUUUCAGACUCCAAUACCACAGACGAGAGUCCAGGAACACCCAGAAAAGGCCGGAUCCGGAGUGAUGGAUGAAAAGGAUUGGUCCACUGAGUGAUUGAUUUUCGGGUGGAUAGUUAGCGAUUCAUCGCCUCACCACGGGGUUCAUCUUUGACGAUGACUGACUAAUUGAUAUUGGUUGGUACAUCUAUCAGCACUUGACUCUCUUAUUUCACUGUCUUUUAAACCUUUAGAUGAGAAUAGAGUGGCAGUAGAGGCAUGUGGGUGCGCGAGAGUGGCGGGUAGCCGAAGGUGGUGGCAAACGAAGUGGUGUGUGGUUGCACCUCCUCUUCCAGUUUUGGUGCUGCCAACCGUGCCCUCUACUGAAAGAAAACCCCACUUUUCCAAAAGCCCUAUAUAUAGGAAGAUCACACAAAGACAGAUUUGCAUCAAAAGCUACGGAGGGCCUGGAUUGAAUUUUUUAGCAGCCAGCAGAAGAGCAUUUAGCAAAGCAUCUUUAGCUCCUAACUGCAAGUAAUAUCCUUCAUUUUGGAUCUUCCGCUUAAGAAUCUGGGCAGCGAAGAACUCGACUUCGAAAUCAGAAAGAAAGGAAUGAUGAUGACGAUGAUGAUCGGAAGUGAGGAUGGAGGUGACGACAUCCCAAGAAAGGUUAGUAUGCUGGAACUGGACGAGCCACUGAUUAGCAGCUACGCGGUUGCAGGACUGAGAGUCAUGAUUGAGGGCGUGAACAGCCUAGGCGGCCUUAAUUUGCAACUCCAUCUACGUCUCUCUUCUAAAUAAGCAACGGACGAAAGAGAACCAUAGAAAAUGAACGAGGAGAGACCGAUGCCUGUAAUUCCCCUUAUUUCCUACAGGCUCCUUAGAUCAGACGGUUGCUGCCUCAGAUCUGUUGCACUGAGUCUUAGAUAUGUGCGUGGGUUUCAAAUGUCUUAUGGAGUGCAUGAAGUGAGGGGGAUGAGUAGCGGAGUAGUGUAAUUCUUGGAGAAGAAAUCAAUCUGACACUGGCAAAACCACUUAGAGACAUGUUUGCUAGAAUGGAAAAGUCAACCCUCGAAAGUGUUUUUCUGGUGGCACGCCUGUUAAUAUAGAAACCACCCAUUCUUGAUCAAUGAAGGAGCGAAUCAGAUUGAUCCACACAAACCCCAAGGCAAACUAAACUUCAUGGAUUUUCCCUUCUCAGAUUCUUCAGAGGCGAGUUGUGCGCUGGUUAUGGGUCCAGAAACUGCAAGCAAUCCAUGAAGAAUCCAAAAUCAACAGCAUCAUGACCUUUAACGGCCACUCCAAUCAUCCAAACGAAUAUCAAUAAUUGCAAAUGGAAUAAAAUUUGAAAGGAACAUGGAUGUAAAAUGAAGAACUUGUCUUAGGAAGAUGCAGGCUGACGAAUAUCCCCUUAAGAAUCCCAGUGAGGUCCUCCCCCUGCUCCUCACUCUUCUUGCAACAACUCUCCUUCUGGACGUCCUCCUUUCCUUCCUAAAAGAUCAGCCAACCCUCUUAUCUUCAUUUUUCAGCCUGUGCUCUCCUCCCAACCCUCUAUUGCAGGCACAUACAUCUCCUUUUUCAGAAUAGCCAGUCCAACCUCCCUUCCAAACUCUCCAUGAUAUCUUCCUAAAGAGCGCCUCCUCAUCCAAAAACAAUCUCAAAGUUUCCAAAGAGAUUCUUAAACCUUCCAAAACCAAAAAUCCCUUUCGUGCAUGAAUAUCCCCAAAAAUUGCUCUUUGUCUGCAAUUGUGGACUUUCACUUGUCUUCCUUUCUAAAAAAAAACCUCAAACUCCGAUCUCUUUCCCCAAGCUGUGUCUAUCUUCAAUUGCUUCCUUAUCUCUUAGAGCCACCUUUCCUUAAACUCUCCCAAAACUUCCACACCUAUCUUCCAUACAUUUCCUACAAAAUUUCAAAGUUAAUAGAUUAAAUAAAAUAAUAAUAAUAAAAUAAUAAUAAUGAUAAAAAUGAGUAAAAGUAUUAAUAAUAAUAAUAAUAAUAAUAGUAAUAAAAUGACAAUAAAAAAAAUUAAACCAAAUUAUUAAAUUAAAAUAAAUAAGUAAGGAUAAGUAUUACAGAAAAGUGACAAAAUAAUAGGAAAAUAAAAUCGAGGAGGUAAUAGACAAGAUAAUAAAUAAAAUAAACAAAAAUAUAAUAAAAAGUCAAGUCAUGUGAUUUUACAAAAACGAGCCAUGCAAAUCAUGCAAGCCAUAUAAAAAAUGCAAUCUAUACCAACCAUGCAAACAUGCAAAAAUUACCUGAAAGGUGACCUAAGUGGGCCUAAGGUGUUGCCUAAUGGGCCAAGUGUAUCUAAAUGGGCCUAAGGUGCCUAAGUGGGCCUAAAGUGGUGCCUAAUGGGCCAAGUGUACCUAAAUGGGCCUAAAGUGCCUAAGUGGUGCCUAAUGGUCAAGUGUAUCUAAACGGGCCUAUGGUGCCUAAAUGGACCUAAAGUGGUGCCUACUGGGUCAAGUGUACCUAAAUGGGCCUAGGGAGCCUAAGUGGGCCUAAAGUGGUGCCUAAUGGGCCAAGUGUAUCUAAAUGGGCCUAGGAUGCCUAAGUGGGCCUAAAGUGCCUAAGUGAGCCUAAGGUGAUGCCUAAUGGAUCAAGUGUGCCUAAAUGGGCCUAAGGUGCCUAAGUGGGACUAAGGUGCCUAAGUGGGCCUAUGGUGCCUACGUGAGCUUAAGGUGCUUAAGUGGGCCUAAGGUACCUAAGUGGGCCUAUGGUGCAUAAGUGGGCCUAUGGUGCCUAAGUGAGCUUAAGGUGCCUAAGUGGGGUUAAGGUGCCUAAGUGGGCCUAUGGUGCAUAAGUGGGCCUAUGGUGCCUAAGUGAGCCUAAGGUACCUAAGUGAGCCUAAGGUGAUGCCUAAUGGGCCAAGUGUGUCUAAGUGGGCCUAUGGUGCAUAAGUGGGCCUAAGGUGCCUAAAUGAUCCCAAGUCUAAAUAGGGUUGCCAAGAGUCACAAUGGGGUUAGGUAAAUCCCUCAACCAAAGUCCCCAAGGUGGCUUAGAAAAGAUAGGCUACACGAGUAGUAAUGAGCCACCAAGGAAUUGUUGUAAAGUAUCAAACAAAUACCUAAUAGGACAUGUUCUAGGAGGACAAAAUGGAGGGUUUACAAUGGGACUUGUUAAUUCAUGUAUGCUUUCGAUCAAGCUAGAGACUAGGAGUAGAGUCUAGUAACGGGUUAUAUUAAUGUUUGGGUGCACUAUGGAGAUAGGCAUGUUAAUGCCAAUAGUAGUCCUAUCAUUGAAGACCUAUAUGACACAAAACUAGAUUGAAUGGAUACUCGUGUGGCCAGUUUGUUCCCUUUAUUGUUUUAGUCACAUAGGUUUUUCGGAAGCACCCACAUUAUUCUAAAUGUACACUUAGAUUAACCCUAAAUGUUGAGAAAUGUAAAAGCUUUACCUAUAGGAAACCCCAUGGGAUGUGAGGAAGUGCAUGUGUGGAGGUGAUGACCACCUUGCAUGGAAGCACCUUAUCUCUUAGGAGGCGUGCAAAAGGUUACAUACCAUCAGAGCAUACGAUCACCUUUGCUAGGGAUUCCCUUAACCCACCUACUUAAUUUUUUUAGGGCCACCUUCUUACCAAGUGGGUGGAGAAAACUUCUUAUACGAGAUUGACAUUAGCCAGAGUUGUUAGCUUCAUCAUAUCACACAUCAUUUGUCGUUAUGGAGUCCCACAUGAGUUGAUAUCUGACAAAGGAAUGCACUUCAGGGCAGAGGUUGAUGUUUUAUUACAAAGAUAUGACAUUUAGCAUCAUAAGUCGUUUGCGUAUAGACUGUAGACUAACGGGGUAGUAAAGGCCACAAAUAAGAAUAUUAAGAGGCUUUUGUAGAGAAUAGUUGACACUUCUCGAAACUGUUCAGAGAAGCUACUUUUGGAAUUAUGGGCUUAUCACACUUCUUGUCACACCUUUAUAGGAGCCACACCCUAUUCUCUAGUGUAUGUUAUAGAGGCAGUGCUACCAGUUGAGAUAGAGAUGAGAUUUUUGAGAGUAGCAUUUGAGCAAGAGAUAUCUGAGGUAGAUUGGACUUAAGCACAUUUUGAUCAACUUAGUCUUCUUGAUGAGAGGAGAUUGAGAGCAAUAGAACACACCUGCUUAUCAGAGGAAGAUGCCCCGUGCUUUUAGAAAUCGGAUCAAGCCUAGACCAAUACUGAGAGGAGAUUUGGUUUUGAGAGUUCUUAGAGGCUCGGUUGGAGACCCUAGAGGGAAGUUCAGACCGACUUGGAGUGGACCAUAUGUCAUUAGAGAGUUAACCCCAAAGGAUGCAACAUGGUUGAUGGAUCUAGAUGGAAACUAAUUCUCAGAGCCGAGCAAUGUAGAUUAGUUAAAGAAGUAUUAUGUUCGAGACUAUGGUUGCAGGAUGAGUGGCUUAUACCCUAUCACCUUUUGGAUAUUUAAACCAUUGCUAGCCCUUUGAGCCUCCCAUGAUCACUAUAGCCUAUUCUUUUUUAUAGCCUUGUUUACUUUUUAUACUUGGGACCCUCUAAUGUACAUAUGCUUUAUUUAGGAAUUUCACGAGUCUUGGACCUAUUGAUAUACUCUUUCCAUUUGUUUUGUCAUUAUCAUGAUACCCUAUUUUAUUCUCACUUCCAUUGUUUUUGUUCUUUGUUAUGCCUUUUUGAUACUAUUUGAUUUAUCUUGUUUCUUCUCAUACAUUGAGUGAUGAUCUUUCACAUUUCAUUAUAUGCAGAUCAGUCAUAUCACCACUUACAUUCCAUCUCGUAGACAUUAAUACAAAGGUCUUUGGUUGAGAUGGUCAUUUCAUUAGGGAGAGCUCGUCAUUUUUUGGAUCACUAUUUAAGAGUAUAUUCAUACCAUUGUAAAUAUAUAUGUGCAUGAGAUGUAUUACUCCAUUGAGCAUGUAUGAGAUAUUUGAGAGUUUAUUAUGUGGAGUUCAUUGGUUGAUGAGAUUGCAUGAGAGUUUGUGAUCCUCAAAUUUAUCUUGUAUAUGUUCCGAGUAUGAGAGAUGGGUGACUCCUUCCUAAAGACUCUAAAUCAUUAUCUCCUUCCAUCACUUUAGUCACCGCUGAUUUGAUCGCUUUCUAUGUUUUGUCUUGAGUAGAUCGAAGCUCUUCUGAUUCCUUUUGAUCUUAUCUGUUCUUUAUAUUCUUCAUCAUUCACCAUACAUUCAUCGUUCUUCAUUCAUAUCUAUCCUCAUUCCAUGAUUGAUAUUCUCUUCACAUUAUCUCUCUUUGUAGCUUGAUACUCACUUCUAUUCCUUUUCUCUAUCAUCGUUGAUUUUGCUGAGACCUUUUAUGUCCCACCCAUGCUCACAUCGGAUAUCUUUAGGUUCAUAGCUUAUGAGAUUAUUUAUGCAUAUUAUGUUUUGUACAUGAGGGUCUGAGUUUGAUCAUUGGGUAUUUGAGCCUAGUUUCCUUUCAUUUUUUUACCCUAUUACCCUAGCCUACAUUUUGUCUUGUGUCUUAAGACCACUUUGAGGCCAUGGGUUCGAAUAUUAGCUUUAACAACCUCUACUUGGGCAAGCGUUUCAGAUUUGGUUGAUGUGUAGGCAUUAUCAUAAUCUUUCUUUUGGGGAAUGUUUCUUCAAUGUUUGGAGUUAAUUCAUGAUGGAUGUAGAGGAUUGCUUGAUUUUAUGGUGGAUGAGAGAUGUUUUCUGACUUCCCAUUCUGUUAUAUUUCAAAUGUCAUACUGCAUGGGGCAUAUCCUUUUUACGUCAAGAUUGCUAGUCUAACAUUGGUUUUCACUUUGUUUCAUGAUGAUGGUUGUUGAUUUUGACUAUUUGAUUUCUUUACGAUCUUUAUUGGAGUUACAUCUCGAGUCAUUGGGUGAGACUUACACUUUCUGAUAUCCUCGCUAUUUUCGAUGGAAUUACCCUAGUGAGGUAUGCUUCUAUCCAGGCUUUUAGUGGAUUAGUUCAACUUCAUUAUCAUAUCCCUUGGUGGAGUUCCAUCUCGAGUCAUUGGGAUGAGCUUACACUUUUUUAUAUCCUCACUUUUUUUAUGGAGUUACCUUGAUGAGAUGUGCUUUCAUCCAUACACACAGUUGACUAGUUCAGUAUGGCUAUUUCUGAUCAUCAGUGGAGCCUGUUUGACCUAAGAUGAUUGGUUGAUGCACAUAUAUGUUCUGAGUCAUUUGAUAAUUUCAUCCAUAGAAAGAGAUGUGAUGAGUUGAUAUCAUUUGGUUAUCCUUAUGAUUUUGCAUUAGUUGCCAUACUAGGACAUAAUCCCCUUUCUUUUGUUGAGAUAAGAUCAUAGGGGAUCAUUACCUUUGAGCUUGGAUAUUUUCCAUGGAUCGGAGAUUCUUAGUGAAGUUGAUUCGUGCCCAAUUGGUGUCUCAGCUAAUUCGUAUCCAGCUGGUGCUCCUUGAUUGAGGGAGUAAUCAACAAAAUUUAUAACCUAUUACACCAUCUACUAGGGUAGCAAAGACAACGCUACUAUAGCAUAGUGGCUCUAGGAUUGUUCACUGGGAUGGGUUUUCACUUCACAAAUGAUAUUAAUUCAAAGUUGAAUUGGUGCCUUUUCAUUUCAAGGUUAGCUUUAAAAGAAAACAUAAACUUGAGUUGGAAAAUGUUUGGUUUUAAACUAACCACAAAUAGUAACUGAUUUUACUUACAAAGAAAAGUGUUUCUUGGAGUUUCAGAUCACUAGGCUCAGAUUCCUCAUACAAAAAGGGAGUUCCAGUCACUUGUUUCUUUUCCUCGCAUUAGAGAAUUAACAUAUAGUUAAUUCUCUAACCGGUGUUGUACAGAUGCUUCCCAUUAAUGGGUUCAAACACUAAAUCCCUCUCACUGAUGCACCUUGCAAUGGCUCAUACCUCUCACCUAGCAUUUACCAUUCAAGGUGAUCUUUAACCUUGGAUUACCCGUCAAAAGCUCGCAAGAGAUAACUAAUGGAUGUCUCCUUGGAGUCCAAAAGCUUACCAAGUGUUGGCUAUUCUAGAAAAUCCUACCUUCAAACCACCUCCCAAAAGCUCGCAAGAGAUAAACUAGUGAAUCUCCAUGGACGGAGAUCACUUGCCUUACCAAGUGUUGGCUCAGGUGAAUUGAAGACGUUUUAAGUUAACUAAAAAGAUAAAAACCAUUAACGGGUCACACUUUCUCUUCAUUAAAAACUAAAACAAAAAAACUUCCAAUUUAUGCAUGUGGAAACUUACCCGGCUUUCCUCACUCCAAGAGACAAAGAGCCUAGCCUCUCAUCCUCUGAGGAAAAAUCCUCAGAGUUUGGUUGGCUAGAAAUAAAAAGAAAUGAAAAUGAAAGAGAAGGAAAAACAGAGCAAGGCUCUGUAUAUUCUAUAUAUUUAUCUAUAUAUAUCUUUUACAGUGGAUGCAAGGGAAUAUAUAUAGAGACGUUUUUCCAACCUUCCUAACUAAGAAAUCUUAUGGUUGGUGGAUUACAAGGAGAAUAAUAGAAAUUUAUACAAAAAUAUCUGAAGAAAAAUAUCCAAAAAUGUCGGUCGCAAAUAUCUGGAAGCACGCGGGAGAAUUUCACAGGCGCACAAAAUGGCUGCGAAAUUUCGCAGACGACCAAGAUGGCUGCGAAAUCAUUUCGCAGCCAAAGGCUGAUUUCGCAGCCCUGCGAAAUUGGCCUUCAGCUUGGAGUGAUCUGCUUCCAAUGGCUGUAACUCCUUUAUUUCAACUCCGAAUCGCACACUGUUUGAAGCAUUGGAUUGUUGACUUCCUGAGCUUCGAAAUGACAUAUAGCAUGCAUAAAUUGAACUUCAGGAAGUGCUGCAAAAGUGGCUGACAUGACUGUCAUCAAGAAUGCUUCAUGGCAGAUUUCUCUUUGCUUCCCCUCCUUGCAUUCCGGAUUUGCUUAUGGCAAAGGACUUCAAAGCUUCAGUUCUUCAUGUUUCUGAGCUUUCCAUUGCUUUUCCAUGGAUUCCAAAGAACUCUCCUCAAUCUUGGAUUGCUUUGGUGAUCAAAAGCUAUCAAAACACCAAAACUUAACACAAUUUGAUUAGAAUUGAUUGCAAGGGUCCUUAACAUGCCAAUUGAGUUAAAAGGUAAUAACUACUACUCAAAAGUGUUUAAAAGAGUUAAUUACAAGCUAUCAAAUAGCACUUUUUGAGUAGUAAUCAGAAGUAUUUUGAGACAACAUUAGUUUUGAUGGAGCAUCUUUUUUGAGAUUAUGACAGUUUUCGCCAUCAUGAUUCCUUAGCAAAGUGUUUAUAAGAUGGAUUGGUUCAAUUAUUCUACAUUCCAGUUCCUAUGAUUAGUUGAUGCACAUAUAUCUUCUAAGUCAUUUGAUCAUUUCAUCCUUAGAGAAAGAUGUGAUAAGUUGGUAUCAUUUGGUUAUCCCCAUGAUUUUGCAUUAGUUGUCAUACUAGGGCAUAUUCUUUUUUCUUUUGUUGAGAUGAGAUCACAGGAGAGCAUUACAUUUGAGCUUGGAUAUUUUCAUGGAUCAAAGAUUCUUAAUGGAGUAUUUUGAUAUAACAUUAGUUUUGAUAGAGUAUUUUUUGGGGGGAUUAUGAUAGUUUUCGCCAUCAUGAUUCCUUAGUGGAGUGUUUUUGAGAUGGAUUGGUUUGAUUGUUCUACAUUCUAGUUCCUUAGUGAACCAUUUUUGAGAUAGAUCAAUUGGUUGUUUUUGAGUUGGAGAUAGUCUUUAGCAGAGUUAUCUCCCUGAGUGACCGAUUGGCCAUAUUGAUUUUUUUAUUGAUGAGCUAAUGGCAUUUUGGUCCCUUAGAGUAUUUUUAGAUGAUCUAUCCUUAGAGUAUUCUUGAUGUUAUGGUAUUGCCAUACUAGUAGUACAUAAACCUUGCAUAUUGGGGCAUAUUUCCCCCAUGUUGAGAUUAUUGAGAUCAUUACUUGUUCAGCUUUCAAAGCAGAGGCAUUCAGUGUCAUCUUUCAAAGCAUAAAUCAUGUGAUUGAUCACGAGUUUGUGUAUCGCAUCCUCCUUUACCAUCAAUUCAUCAGCUUUUAGAGUAGAGGCAUUCAAUGUCAUCCUUCAAAGUAUAGAUCAUGUGAUUGAUUAGGGGUUUGUGUAUCACAUUCUUCUUCAUGGUCGAUUCAUCAUCUUUUAGAGUAGAGGCAUUCAGUGUCAUCCUUCAGAGUACAGAUCACGUGAUUGAUUAUGGGUUUGUGUAUCACAGUCUCCUUCAUGGCCGAUUCAUCAGCUUUCAAAGUAGAGGCAUUCAGUGUCGUCCUUUAGAGUAUAGAUCAUGUGAUUGAUCUGUUUUUUUUUUUACUUACAUUUAAAAAACAAAAAAUUAAAAAUGAUUUGUUUUUACUAGUUAUUUAUAUUUAAGGAAGUAGGAAAGGUUUACUCCAAUGCUAAAAAUAAAUAAAAAUAAAAUAAAAUAAAAAUUGAGGGUUGAAAAGUAAUUAAUCACUAAAAAAUAGACUUGGAGUUCCUUUGGUGUGCGAUUAGACUCAAUUUGUCCCCAUGCAAUGGAAAUGGACGAUUUUUUAUUUUUUAUUUUUAUUUCCUUUUCCUUUAUCUUGGUGUAGUCUUGUGAUAUUGUUACUAAAAUAGGAGGUAAAAAUAUAAAUUAUAUAUCAAUUAUUUUAAAUUUAGAAAAAAAUGCUUAUUUUAAUUUGAAAUAAAUAAAUAUAAAAGAAAUGAUUUUCUCUCAAUUGUGUAAGACUUCACAAAAAUUUUCUUAUUUGCAAAAUAUUUUGAGUUGUAAAAGUAAAAAUUAAAGAAAUCAUUUCAUGGUCUUUUUCACAAGUAUCCAUUUAGAUCAUAGUCUAAUUUUAAAAUAUUUGAAAAAUCCAAUUACUCUAAACUAUAUCAUUUAUAAUUUUUUAAAUUAUUAAUAUGAUACCUAACCUUGUAUGGAAUUGGAAUAAAAUAUGGAUAAGUAAAAAAUGUCAAAUGAAAGAUAAUUUCAAACUUUUCUAAUACAGCUUCUCCCUUAAACUAAUAUAAUAAAUUAAAUGAUAAAAUUGAUUUGCAUAACAAUAAACAAAUCAUAUGAUAUUCCCAAUUUAUUUUAUAAACUAAGGAACAAAUCAUAACAUUUUUAGUAAAAUAUUAUUUGAUUCACUUUAAGGAAUUUAAACAUUUUAAUAGUUUUAAAAUAGAUGAAAAACAAAUAAUAAAUUAUAAAAUGGUUUACUAUACUAUUAACCCUUACCUUGAAGAAAUCGUUCAAAAUCCCAAAAGACUUAAUCUACAUCUAAUAUAAAUAUAAAUAAAAAAUAAUUAUUAAAGACUAAUUAUCUAAAUCAACGACUUCCUAAAUUUUUUGUAAAACUUAUUUUAAUUCCAAACCCUUUUCUAAAAUUCUAUUUUUUUUUAAUUAAUUUUUUUAUUAACCAUAUUAUUAUUAUUAUCAUUUUCACUUCCCAUAAUUAAUCAUAGGACAUAGGACAAUUGAUAAUUGUUAUUACAUAAAUCCUAACUCUAGAGCACCUCUUUUGUGUAGUAAGGCUAAGCUUGAUUCUACUAAGCUCUAGCAUAGAAGACUAGGUCACAUAAACUAUAGGGAUCUUGUGGACUUAGUGAAUAUUGAAAAAGUUAGAGGUAUCCUUAAACUUAGUGGCAAACCUAAACCCAUUUUUGGUGAAUGCAUGAAAGGAAAAAAAAACUAAGGGUUUACACAAAAAGGUUAAGGAGAUAAGGACCACUAGACCUUUAAAUCUUCUUCACAUGGAUCUUAUGGGUCCAAUGCGAAUUGAAAGUAAAGGUGGCCAGAUAUAUGUCCUUAUGGUAGUAGAUGAUUUUCCAAGAUACUUUGUGAGUUUUCUUAGGGAGAAAUCAGAGGCCAUACAACAUUUGAAGUUUUUAUUUAAUAGAAUACAAGUGGAAAUAGGUCAUCCAAUUGUAAGAAUUAGGAGUGAUAGGGGGAGAGAGUUUGACAAUGUUGAAGUUAACCUCUUUUUUUAUUCUAAAGGAAUUAAACAUGAAUAUUCAACACCUAGAACUCCUCAGCCAAAUAAAGUAGUUGAAAGAAGGAAUAAAGUGCUACAAGAAAUGACAAGAGUGAAGAUUCACAUACAGAAUACCCCUAAAAAAAAUAUGGGUAUUGCUUUAAUACCCCUUAAAUAACUGAAAGUCUAAUAGGGAACACCCAGAAGGGGAAAGGGAAUGAGGGAGAGGGGGGGUAUGAAUGGGUGAUUUAAAAAAUUCAACCAAUAUUUGUGAAUUAUAAUCAAUUUUUCUUAUCCUAAGAUGUCAUAAGGAUAACCUAGAUAUUCAAAAAGGAUUCCAUCCUAAUAAAAAAAAAACUGAUUUUUAUGAUUAAUUGAUAUCCAAAGAUUAACAAUAUAUGUUGAAGAAUGUUAUGGAUAAUAAUAACCACAAGAAUAACCAACCUAACAAACUCAACAACCAAUUAACCAAUCAAUCCAAUAUAUUCAAUAUCUUCAACUAGAAUGUUUGUAGGAAAAAAUAUAAACUUUUUAGAAUAACCUUGGAAGAUAUUAGGUUAAAACAAAUUAACCUAUUCUAGGCAAUUAAAAUGUGAUAUCAAAUAUAAAGAGAUAGACAAUGAGACACAAGAUUUUUAUGUGGAAAAUCCUCACAAACUAUGGAGAUAAAAAACCACGAGGUCUAAGACCUAUUAAUCGAAAUCCACUAUUUGAAAUCAAGUCAGACAAAUUUACCUAACCAUUUUACCCUAAAGACUUACUCUCCAAUACUUACAACUUGAUCCACAUCUACAAUGUAGCAAAUACUUGUUGCUCCCUAGUAGAUCCUUUGGUCCCUUUGAAGGGAUUACAAUCUUCAACCAACAAUUCAAAAAAUCGAAUCCUUGAAUGAUAGAAUGAGAAUGUUGUGGCAAUGAGACUUUUCUUACCAAAGAGUACCUUUAAAGAAUGAGAGGUCUCUAACAAUUCGAUCUCUACGAUCUCUAAUCUCUUAGCUUGAAUCUCUAACCCUCAAAGGGUUACAAAGGAGGUAUUUAUAUGUAAAAACCAUAAGGAUUUCGGUAUCUCAAGUUUCGAAAUUAGAAUUAGAUUGAAAUUCAUUCAAAAUACUUUUCUAAACUUGGUAAGACUAUCAUGACCACUAGAGCAUGCUUGUGUCGCUUGAGCGGGAUUAAUCACUUGAGCGGUCUUACUUUUUUAAAAAUAUUUUAAGCUAAAAAAUGAUAUUGAUCCUUUUAUACCUCAACUGAGCCUUUAUAUGCCACAAGUUAAAACCUUUUUAGAUGUACCUAUGACUUCCCAAUUGGACGAAUAACAACCCUUAAUCUUCAAUGGAGGGCAUCUUACUAUCUAAAAAGACUUCUAUGGCCAAACACAAAUUGACAUAAAAUUGCCAACAUAUAAGCAAGACUCAAUGCCCUAACAAUCUCUCCAUUUUGAAAUUUUGUGAUGAAACAUUGUUACAUAAACCCACCCAUACUCUCAUAAUGGAGUUUACAUAACACACAUUGACACUCAAAAAUAAACUAAAGGAAUAUUUUGCAAUGCUUUGUAGUACUUAUCUUCUAACCUUGUAACCUACACAAAAAACUAUACCAAAGACAAAACAGUGUGUGUUAUAAGAUAUGAUCAAGAAAGAAAAAUAGGAUAGUUGGAGAUUUUGCUUGAUGAAUUGUGUAAGCACGAAAAAGGAACAAAUUCCUAUAGUGACACCAAGGUACAAAGCAAAGAUCAAAAGGAAUUUGAAUGUAUGCAAAUCAACCAAACACAAUAGAAGCUAGAUAAGACCUAGUAAUUUAAUAGAAAAGUGCAAGGGACGUUCACCAACCAUAACAUAAGCAAUAAAGGCCCUAGGAAAAAGCUUCUAUGACUGAGAUUUGUUCUAAAGAGAUAGUCAAUCUAACAAUCGUAAUUUGCAAGAAACAUUCGUGUUAGGAAUCUUUCUUAAACUCUAAAGUCAUGUUUCCUAAGGUUGAUUUGGUUUACUUCAAUGCCUCAUUUUUAGUUUCCUCAAAUAUUUCAAAUAAUUCCCCUUAAUUCAGAAUUCAAAAACUACCUUUAAAUUCAGGAGUUUCUAUUUUCACCUUUUUUUUUAGCUCCUCUUUUUUAGGUGAAUCAAAUAUUCAAUGCUUUCUUUUUAUCUUAAUUUAAGUGAGUUAAAUAUGCAUUAUCCCCUUAUUUUUGUCACAAAAAAUGACAAAGCAAUAGAAAUAUAAAUACAAGAAGGCACAUAAAAGAGAAAGACAAAUAUGAGUGACAUAUAUAUAUUAAAAAUAUUAUUUUUGAUACAUAAGAUAAUCAAAGAAUAAACAUCCAGAUCAAUAAAGAUAUAAAUAAAAAAACUCAAUAACUAAACAUCAGAAAAAGGUAGAGAAGGAAAGAAGCUUGAACUCUCUAAGUAUGGAUCCAAGAAAUAAUGUAGGUUAACUGACCCUGGAUCUCAUGGAGUUGAACGUCCUAUGAGUCUAAACUUUGAAGCACUAUAGAUGAGGGAUCCAUUUUCUAAGAAGUUAGGGGUGCGGAAGACGAUGUGCCAUGAGAGGCUUUAGAUGAUCUAGCACAUCCUUAACUGGAGUGAGUCCUCAAUGCAAUAAUAAGAAUGGGUGCAUCCAGCUUCAAAGUUUGAAUCUCAUCCUUCUCAGCAAGUGCCUCUUAAGCAGCUUAUUGAUUUGGUGCAACAGCCUAGGAGCCAUUUGGAACUAGAGGACCCAAGGGACCAUACACGUGACCGUAGUGUUUGCCCCAAGAGCUCUCAUCCAACAAGGCAUGAGCAACCUAUACCCUCUAUGUAGUAGCAAUCUCAAAACUAAUAUGCUAUAAUAAUCUAGAGUUGAGGAGUAUGAAAAUAAGUGCACCACGACGGAAGAAGAAGUCUCGAUAAGGGGUGAUGGUAUCGAUGGUCACUUGACCAAUGUCGAAUUGCUGUCCAAAUAGAAUGGCAUGGAUGAGACAAGCAGUCGAUUGACAAAUUUAGGUGCAAUGGGAAGAAUGGUAGAAAGAAUAUGUCAAGAAAGUAGCAAAAAUCCAAACUAGCUCGGAGAAGCCAGCCAGAGGAAUAUAAGAAGAAGGCUCUCAAGGAGCACCAUAUAACGAAACGAGAAUAAAAAAACAAGCUCUCUAAGAGUGGGAGAUUGAAUCUCUAGAAGAAAAUAAAGAAGACAUGCAUCAAGUAUAGGCAUGUUGAGUACAUGCCUGAUUGACAAUGAGGUGAUCUGGAAUGGAUGACAAAACAUGGUCACUCAAAAGAAGCAACUAUGAGAAGUGGUAUGCAUGUUUGUAUAGAACAUGCGAACUAGAAGAGGAUAAUANNNNNNNNNNNNNNNNNNNNNNNNNNNNNNNNNNNNNNNNNNNNNNNNNNNNNNNNNNNNNNNNNNNNNNNNNNNNNNNNNNNNNNNNNNNNNNNNNNNNUAACUAGUAGGAAUACAAAAAAACACAAAAAAUAAGAAAUAUAUUGAAAAAUCUAAGCAGCUAUAAAUGUCCUAAACAAUGCGAAGAACAAUAUUAUGAAGUUGAAAAUGCGAAAAACAAAGAAAAUUGAUCUCAAAAUACAAAGAAACAAAGUCUUAAAGCGCUUGAGAGAAUAGAAAAAUGAUUGAAAUUACAAAAGGCACACUAGAUGGGUUUUUAUACUCAGGCGUACCACUAGAUGUAGAUUAGUGCUCAAGCAGGAUGCUCGAUCGAUACACUAAUAGAUGUAACUACGAGUGCUUGAGCAAUAAAGACGUUGGAAGUGGCUUGAGUGCUUGAGGACACUAAAUGUAGCACUCAAGCCACUAGAGCCAAAUAAAAAAAAUAAAAUAAAAAAUCUAGCAAGGGAUAGAAUACUCAACUAACUAACAUAUAAACAAGGAUUGACACCAAUUGAAACAAAUUUUGACAAUAAAGAGUAGAUAAUUAAGUUCAUAAACUUUCAACAUUAGCUCAAUCAGUAAUAGAUGAAGUAUGUUACUUUAGAUAGUAUAUGUCAAUCCAUUAAGAAUGAAAUUUCAAGAUCAACCAUUAGAUUUAAUCCUAAUCACAUAUUCAAAAACCCAAUACAUAACCAUCAAUGUAUAAGAGAGUCAACAUAGAAACAUAAGUAUUGAUUUUCAAGGAAAUACAACUUCCUAUUUAGUUCAAUAUUUUGAAAUUAAUUACUUCGAAUGGAUCCAACCACCACUUUGGUCAAAUUAAAGAACACAUUCAGUCAAUUUGAACUAAGAUUUUCAGAUUUCUAUUUAACAUGACCUCGUUGAUCUACAUACAAUGCAACUUGACUCCCCUUUAAUAUGAUAUCAUAUUUCUAUUCUUUACUUUUUAUUUUUCUAUUUAAAAGUGGAGGCAUUAUACAUCAUGAUCAAUUGAUUUUUUAUUUUUUUUCAUUCAUAGUUGUCUUUGUGUCCACUUUGGGGGUGUUUCCAAAUGUUGCAAGUGAGUAGUAUACGUUUAAGAGCAUGAAUCUUGCUAAGAGUUAUAUUUAACCAAAGAUUCAAUAUUUUAUACUCAUGUACCUUGGGAAACAAAAAAAAUGAUUUUAGUCAAACAAGGUAUGUGGAUAAUAAGAUUUGAGCAUGACAACAGAUCCUUUCAAAGUAAUCAAAGUCUACUUUAUGAGUUCAACUUAAGAAGUCUCCCCCUUGAUCAAGUAUAAGAUGUAACCAAUAUUGAAUUUUUCAUAUACAAUGACAUUUAAUUAUCAGGAAUCAAAUGCAUCAAUAGUUAUUAACAAUUAUCUAUGAUUCUAUCCAGAUCAAAUCUUGUAGAUAUAUAUAUAUUUCUUUAAAUCACAAACUUGAAACAUUACGAAUCAUGGUAAUAUUUCAAGUAACUAAAAAAAAUAAUAUGCCUAAAAAAAAAGGCCAAAGAAAACAAAAAGAUAUAAACACUAAGCUCAACACUUUUGAAGCCUAAACCUAUGAUGAUCAAUCAAUUAGCCAUAUGCCCAAGGAUUUCCUUAGGUACUCAAACCUAAGAGAAUCCAAGUGUUUGGUAAGAAUGUCUGCUAAUUAAAGUUCAAAAAGGAUAAACUCUAAAUAAGCAACCUUUUCUUCAACAAGAUCCUUAAUGAAAUGAUGAAGAAUUUCAAUAUGAUUACUACAGGAAUGAAGAACAAGAUCCUUUGAGAUAUUUAUAGCACUAGAGUUGUCAUAAUGCAUGUUCAUGGUUCUUUGUUUAAUUCCAUAGUCUUUAAGCAUUUGCUUAUCCACAGGAGUUGCAUACAACAACUUCUAACAACAAUAUACUUAGCUUCGACAAUAGAUAAAGAUAUAAAAUUUUGUUUCUUACUAAGGCAAGCCACAAGACAAUCUCCAAUAAAAGAUGUGUUUUUUCUAUCAUCAACGUUUCCAGCCCACUCAACAUCAAAAUAUCUAGCAAUUACAAGAGAAGAGUCAUAGGGAUACCACAAACCAUAAUUGAGAGUUCCAUUUAUAUAACGAAUAAUUCUUUUAAUAGACAUUAGGUGUGACUGUUUAGGGUUUGCUUGAUAUCUAGCACAAGCUCCAACACUAAAAGAUAUGUCAAGACGACUCGUAGUGAGGUAAAGUAAGCUUCCUAUUAUACUUCUAUAAAGAUUUUGCUCAACAUCUUUUCCAGAUGCAUCCUUGUUAAGCUUAGUGGUAGUGCUUAUUAAUGUCUUAUAGUGUUUAGAAGAUUCUAGAUCGAAUUUAUUAACAACUUUCCUAGCAUACUUAGAUAGAGAAAGAAAGAUUCCAUCUUUGAAUUGCCUAAUCUGCAAUCCUAGGAAGAAAAUUAAUUCACCUACUAUGUUCAACUUGAAUUCAAUCUUCAUCUCUUCUGCAAAACUAAGGGCAAGUUCACUAUAGGUAACUCAAAAAACUAUAUCAUCAACAUAAAAUAUAAGCUACUAACAACUCAUCAUUGGACCUAUCUAUAAACAAGGUUCUAUCAACUCCCCUUCUUUCAUACUUUUUCUCUAAAAGAUAGGUUAUGAGUCUCUCAUACCAUGCUCUAGGAGGUUUCUUUAACCAAUAAACAUAAUUGAGGAAUUUAGGAUCCUCAAAACCCUUAGGUUGCUCAACAUAGGCUUCUUCACUCAAAAUUUCAUUGAGAAAAGCACUCUUGACAUCCAUUUGGUAUAGCUUUAUCCUCAAGGAGCAUGCUAUUGCCCAAAGUAUCUUAAUUGAGUCUAAUCUAGCUAAGGGUGCAAAUGUCUCUUCAUAUGCAAUCCCUUCUAUUUGUGAAUAUCCUUUGGCAACUAGUCUUACUUUGUUUCUCACAAUGACCCCAUUUUCAUCUUGUUUGUUCCUGGGUUGAAAUUUGAUUAUCAAUUAUAUUCUGAUCAUACCCAGUAUCAUUUAUAACUACAUUAGAAGAUUCCUGGAUGACUUGUGAAUUUUGAUUAUAAACCCUAUAAACUUUACUCAUAGUCGAAUAACCUAGGAAGUACCUAAAUUAGAUUUAACAUCAAACUUUCCAAGGUUCUUCCCAUUCUUAAGAAUGUAGCAUUCACUUCCAAAAGUCCUAAAUUAUGAAGGUUAGGCUUUCUCCCAAUCUAUAAUUCAUAAGAUGCCUUUUUUGUUCCUGGUCUAAGAAAAAUCCUAUUAGUAUAACAAGCAAUAUUAAUUGUUUCUACCCAAAAUUGCAUAGAGGUAUUAUUCAUGUGAAUCAUCACCUUACUCAUCUCUUGUAGUACUUUGUUCUUUCUUUCAACUACUCCAUUCUAUUAAGGAGUUCUAAGGGUUGAAAACUCAUGUUUAAUUCCUUUUGACUCACAAAAAAGGUCAACGCCCACAUUGUCAAGCUCUUUCCCUCUAUCACUCUUAAUCGUUACAAUUGAAUGACCAAUUUACACUUGUACUCUAUUAAAUAAAGACUUUAAAUGUUUUAUGGCCUUAGAUGUCUCCCUAAGAAAACUCACAAAGGAGUAUCUUGACAAAAUUAUCUACUACCAUAAGGACAUAUCUCUUGUUGCCUUUACUUUUAGUUUGCAUUGGACUCAUAAGAUCCAUGUGAAGAAGAUCUAAAGGUUUAGUAGUCCUUAUCUCCUUAACCUUUUUAUGUGAGCUCUUAAUUUUUUUUCCUUUCAUGCACUCAUCACAAAUGGGUUUAGGUUCACCACUAAGUCUAGGGAUAUCUCUAACUCUUUCAGUAUUCACUAAGUGCACAAGAUCCCUAUAGUUUAUGUGACCUAGUCUUUUAUGCCAAAGCUUAGUAGAAUCAGGCUUAGCCCUACUGUACAUAAGAGGUGUUCUAAAGAUAGAAUUUGUGGCAUAACAAUUAUCAAGUGUUCUAUGUCCUAUGAUGACUACCUUUCCCUUUUUAUUAAUUACCUUGUAUAAGUCUUGGUGAAAAUUCAGUUUAUGGUCUUUUUCGCACAUUUGACUAAUACUUAUGAGAUUUUCUUUAAGCCCUUCAACAUAAAGAACUUCAUCUAAUUUGGGCCAACCAAGGGUAACUAUACCACCCCUGUCUUUCACUUUAGCUAGGUUUCCAUUUCCAAAAGCAACAGAUCCCACCAUCAAAGUUUUCUAGAGAAAUGAAAGAGGAUUAUCUCCUAUCAUGUAUCUAGGGCACCCACCAUCAAGGUACCAUUUAAUAGAAGAUUUAGCUUUAAGAGAAUUUAACACAACUUGACAUUUGAACUUAUCCUUUCUCAACCAAACUUGCUUAGUUCUAGGUGGUAACUUGGAGGAACUAGAUUGAUUUCUAGGUUUUUGAUUGGUUUUAUUUCUUUUCCCAUUAUUCAAAAUGUUAUUUUUAAGGGAAUUAAAAUCAUUCAUAAGUCUAUUCAUUUGAGUUUCAAACAUUUUGAGAAACCUAGAGUAGCAUCUAGAUUGAGAGUGUCCAGUUUUCUUAAAUUGUGUGCAUAGUGAUGUAUUUUUAAGAGAUUCUACUUGGUUAAGGGUAUCAUCCUUACCUUUAACAAACACAGUUUUUCCACUAGAUGCCUUUAUCAAGUAUUUCAUUAAGCACUUUAGUUCCAGGGUGAAAAUUUUCAUUCAUAGAUGAAGAAGACUUAUUAUUCUUGAUCUGUUGAGUGGGGACAUUAUUCUUCUCAAGGAGAGAAUGAUGCUCAGAUUUAAGAAAUCUAAUUUUCUCAAGUAAAUUAGAAUUUUCAGCAUUAAGCACAUCAAUCUUAUUUUUAUUUGCAUCAAGAAUUUCAUGAUUUGUCAUAUAACUCUUAAUUAAUCUUUCAUGCUCAAUAAAAAGAUUGUCAAAAAAUUUAGCCCUUUGUUUAUUAGUAAACUCAUCAUCAUUAAUAUCACUAUCACUAUCACAAUAAGAAUUAUUCUCAUGCUCUAUAGAUGCAACAAAAGCUAACAUGUCAUUGGGAUCGUACCUUGCAUCUUCAAAAGUUGUAGAAGCAUUGUCUUCAAAAUAUGAAUCACUCCAUAUUACUUGCAUAAACAUUUUAAUAUUUUUGGAGCUAAGACACUCUUAAGAGUAGUGUCCCACGCCUCCAUAGUUAAAGAAUUCAACUUUCUUGUCUUUGAAAGAACCUUUUCCUUUCUCAUUGGAUGUUUGUUCAUUUGGUCCUUUUCUUUUUCCCAAUUCUUGGUUCUUGUAGAACAUUUUGUUGAAUCUCAUAGCCCUUUUAAUUCUUUUGGGCAUAUGUGCCAAUUCAUCAUGAGUUAUAUCUUUUGGCAUUUCAAUAUCUUUUUCCUCAUUCUCAAAAACCUUAAAGGCAGAGUCUUUAGGAUUAUGGGAAUUUGGUAGGUUCAUUUCAUAUGUUUGAAUGGAGCCUACAAGUUCAUCAACUCUUAUGGAAUCACUGUCCUUGCUUUCCUCUAUGACAAUUACUUUGGGUCUAAAUCUCCCUGGAAGAGAUCUCAAUAUUUUUCUAACUACCUUAGAAUUAGGAAUAGGUUCUCCAAUAUUAAAUAAAGAAUUUAGAAUAUUACUCAAUUCAAAAUAAAAGAAAGAUAAAGUUUUAAAAUGGGUAUUUAUGGAGUUCACCGGCUGUACAUAUGAGGUGGUGAUUAAAUAAUUCAAUGAAAAUAUGGUUUUGUGUAUGAUGUUUGGUGGAAGAAUGUUUUAGUGGGAUUGAAGUUUUUAGUGGCCAUGUUGUAAUUUUAUUUUUUUUUUGGAAAGUUCAAUGGGGAUUUAAGGGGUGGGAAUUGGAAAGAGAUCUACAUGCUACAACAAAAGAGAUAUCCACGUUGCUAUAUAAGGAUCUCGACACCGUAUGCGCAAGGAGAAGGCGGUAUGUUCAGCAGCACCUAAAAAAAUCAGAUUUGGUUGCCUCUUUAGCGCACUAAGAGUUGAUUUUUUGAGAAAUGCAUUCGGGAGGGUAUCAACGACACGGGAUAAGUUCCAAUUUUUAAAUACGAUUUAGUUUAGUUUUAAUCUUUUUUUUUUAUUUUAAAUUUGGAUGUGUUUAUGAUUUUAAUUCAUUUGUUUGAUUAAUUCUGUUAAAUAAAGUUCAUUUUUUGUAAUUCCAAUUUAGUUUAGUUUUAAUUUAUUUUUAAAUUUAGAUACAUUUGAAAUUUUGAUUCUUAAGAUUAAUUAAUCCUAUUAGAUAUCAUGUUUUUAAUUCCGAUUUUGUUUGGUUACAAUUUAUUCUCUUAAUUUAAGUGCGUUUGUGAUGUUAAUUCAUUAAUUUAAAUAAUCUUGUUAUAUAAAGUUUGUAUUUUUAAGUCUCAAUUAAUUUAGUUUUAUUCUAUCUUUAGUUUAAAUGUGUUCGUGAUUUUAAUUUAUUAGUUUAAAUAAUCUUGUUGUAUAAAGUUUAUAUUUUUAAUUCUCAAUUAGAUUAGUUUUAACCUAUCUUUUAGUUUAAAUAUGUUUGUGGUUUGAAUUCAUUAAUUUGAAUAAUCUUGUUAGAUAAAGUUUUUUUUUUUUUAAUUUUGAAUUAGUUUAGUUUUAAACUAUCUUUUAGUUUAAGAAUGUUUGUGGUUUUAAUUCAUUAGUUUAAAUAAUCCCAUUGGAUAAAGUUUAUGUUUUUAAUUUCGAUUUAGUUUAGUUAUAAUUUAUUUUUUUUUAGUUUAGAUAUGUUUGUGAUUGCAAUUCAAUAGUUUAAUUAAUUCUAUUAAAUAAAUUUCAUGUUUUUAAUUACAAUUUAGUUUAGUUUUAAUUUGUUCUCUGGAUAGGUCUUAGACCUCGUGGCUUUUCAUAUCUCCAUAGUUUGUGGGGGCUUUCCACAUAAAAAUCUUGUGCCUCAUUGUCUACCUCAUUAUAUUGGUUAAUUUGUUUUAACCUAAUAUCUUGUAAGGCUAUUCUAAAAGGUUUAUAAUUUAGAUUUAUUGCUACAUAUAUUCUAGUUAAAGAUGUUGAAUAAAUUGGAUUGAUUGAUUAAUUGGUUAUUGAGUUUGUUGAAUUGGUUAUCUUGUGAUGGUUAUAUCUCUAACUUGUGGAUUAUUAUUAAGUUUGUUAGGUUGGUUAUUCUUGUAGUUAUUAUUGUCUCUAGCAUUUUUCAAUAUAUAUUGUUAAGAUGAAAUCCUUUUCGAAUAUCCAGGUUAUCCUUAUAAUAUAUUGAGAUAAGAAAAAGUAAUUAUAAUUCAUAAAUAUUGAUUUAAUUUUUUAAAUCAUCUAUCCACCCCACCAUCCCCUCUAGGGGUUCUUAUUGGACUUUUGGUUAUUUAAGGGGUAUAUAGAGCAAUACUCAUAUUUUUUCAAUUGGUAUGGAAGAGGGAUAAAAAAAACUGAUUCUUUAUCCUAUUGAUUAAAAAAUCAAUUUUUAUUAUUUAUCUUUAUAGUAUAAAAGCCUUUGUUGUAACUUUUUUACCCCUAUUUUCUUUGAAUAUUUACCGAACUACCCACACCAACUUUUUGAUGGGAUGGAUGGACGAUGAUGCCCUACACACACCUUGCUAUGUUGGUGCAUGAUAAGGGCACUUCCGGAAAUCUAGGAUUUCGUGGUGCCCACAUGGAUUUGGAGACUUGUCUUGCAAAGUUUUGAGAAUCACCGGGUCUCUGCAGCCUACUACUACUUCUGCUGCUACGUCAUCUUCAUUGAAGGAUCUGAAUAAGAAGAUCCGUCAGCCCUAUACCAUCACCAAGUCCAGAGAGGGUUGGAUUGAGCAAGAGCACGAUAAGUUUCUCGAAGCUUUACAAUGGUGUGUCACUCUCAAUUACUUGAUUUUGGAGUUUUGUUUUGUAGAUGAGAACAUUCAGCGGGAAUUGGAGAAUUGUGUGUGUGUUUUAUUUCUUCAUUUCGAGGAAAGAUUGGGAAAAAUGUUCAAUAGAGUCAAGUCAAUUGAUCAAUUGAGUGAGGUGGGUUUAUUGUUUUUUAGGACUUGUUUCUCUUUUCUUUCGUUUCUUUCUAUUUUCUCGCACUUUCUCCACAACCAAAUGAGGAAUUGAGGUUGGUAAUUCCGUUAAAUAUCAAAAAUUGAACAUUAUCUUAAUUGGUUAAUAUUUUUAUUUCCGUUUUUCCUAAUAAGGCUUCAAUUUUUGUCAUUUCACUUUGGUUUCCCUUUCUUUGCUUUUCUUUUUUUUUUUUUUCCUUUUUAAUAGAUGAUUUUAGUUUAUUUUAUGAUAAAUUACGAUUUUCAGUUGCAUUAGAUUGUAGAUUUAUUUAAUUUAACAUCUAAUUUUAGUAAUUUCCAUGGAUCCCCAAGUCUAAUCAUAAUUCCUCAAGAAAUAAUUGAUUAUUGGGGGAUUCUAGGUGAGACUGAACUAAAAUUUGAGGAUUUUUUUAGUUAGAGUUUUGUUUAUUUAGCUUUGUUAUGAAAUGGCUUUCUGUUUCAUUUCAUACGGUAGGAAAAUCAUGCAUUCUGAUUUUUUUUUUCUUUUGUGAUUUUUUUACAUAGGUUGAUUGAGAUUGGAAGAGGAUUGAAGCAUUUGUUGGGUCCAAAACAAUUAUCUUAGGAUAAAUUUGUAUCUUUUUAAAAUAUUGUAAAUUUGUUUAACUUGCCAAAAGAGCUACGUUUGGACUUUUUUUUCAAGCUAAAUUUGAAAGAGGAGUGAAAAGAAAGAGAAAUGAUGGAAAUUAGCUACAAGACAUUCCUUUUUUAAGUUAUUCAUCAUUUUCCUCUUCUUUCCGAAUCCAAAUCCUUGCCUUAGUAAGGUUGAACUGAAUUUGAUUUAGAAUUUCAUUUAUGUGAAAUGGUUUUGCUUUUGGUUUUAGAUUUUUUUUUUUUAAACACAAAUUUCUAUUUAUCAAAUUAAAUAAUAAAAAAUAUUAACAAAUUUAUAUUUAAAAGAGAAAAAAAUAUAAAUAUACCUUUUAAAGAUAUUCUUUAAAAUAGAGAAUAUAUGUGAUUUUCUAUGUAAUCCUUUUUUUUUCAUUUUUUUAAUAAUUUUUUAUUUAUAUAGAAUUAUAGAUAAAAAUAUAUUGAUUUCAAAUGCAAAUAAUUAUUUAAAUUUAAAUUUUAAGUUUUCAUUUGUAAAUUUAAAACUUAGAUAUUUUCUAAUUAUGCAUGUCAUUAAAUUGGGAUCUAUCUUUGGCUUGGUGUUUAUAAAUGCCUCUACUUUUAUAUAUAACUUUAAUAUAUAUAUUAGAAAAUUAUGAUUGAAGAGUAAUUUCUUUUUCUUUUAAUUUGAUCAAAAUUAGAAAUCUCAUCUAAAUAGGAUCAUUAUUUUAGUUUUUAAAAAAGUUUGAAAAUAUUGUUUCUAAUAAAUUUUGGUUAAAUAGAAUUAAUAAUUUUUUUAUUUCUUGAAUUUAAAAAAAAAUAUUUUCAAAUAAAUAAUAAUAUAUGUUUGUUUAUUACUAAUCUUAACAUUUUAGGAAAUUUAAAGCCAUAUACACUAUCUCAAAAAAUAAUAAUGUAUAUUUAUUUAUUAUAAUAAAAAAUAAUUAAUCACUUUUGAUUUGAUAUCUAGAUUUUUUUUAUUAUAUAAUAAAUAUAUGCAUAGAAUUAUCAUGAUUCUAUAAUAUAUUUUUAAAUACAAAUAUCUAAAAAAUACUUAAAAGUUUGACAAUUUUAUUUUAAUUAAAUUAAUUUUUAUAAUUUUUAUUAAAUAAUUUAAAAUUUAUAUAUAAUAUCAACUUUAUUACCUAUCUUGUCCACGUGCCUUGCAUGUGGAUCAAACCUAGUAUUCUUUAAAAAAACAAAUUUUUAUUAAUCAUAUAAGAUAAAAAUCAAAUUUUUAUCGAAACAAUCAAAAAGUGGUGCUCCUUUGAAUGGUCUACCCUAUUUUGAUGGAAAUAAUUACUUCCAUUGGAAAGAACAAAUGAUGGUUUUCGUCAAAAUGCAAGACAAAAUAAUUACUUAGUUGAACAUGGUUAGGGACCACCAUUAAUCCUUGAUGCUAAAGGAAGAUCGGAGAACUUAAACCUAAACAUGAAUGGGACAAAGCUAAUAAUGAAGGUAGUGAAGCUAAAGCUAGGGCUUCAUUUAGUAUUUUUAAUGGAGUUUAUCCAAAUGAGUUUCAUAGAAUAGCAAAUUGUAAACAUGGGAUAUUCUUCAAGUCACUCAUUGAAAAUCCCAUCUCUAAAUUCCAUUACUUGGCCACUUUUUACACAGCAAGAAAGAUAAAAGAUGACGCUUCUUUAAUGCGUCAUCUUUUGGCUUGUCAUUGUAUGUGUUAGCUAACAAUGACGCUUUUAGUAAGCGUCAUCUUUCAUAAAUGCUUUCAAUGACAUUUAAUAAAGCAUCAUCUUUGAAUAAUAUUAAUGACACUUAUAAAAAAUGUCAUCUUUGAACAUUUACUAGUGAAAUAAUUUUUACAAAGAGCUUCAUCUAUAAUAUAUUUUAUAAAUGACACUUUUAAAAACGCCAUCUUUGAUUAAUGUUUAUUACAACAAUGGGUUUCCUAUAUAAUUAAAUAAAAGAAAAAAACAAGCCCCAAAAUUAAAUUAAAUUUUAUAAUUAAAAUACCAUCAAAUAUUGAUAUACAAUAAUUUCUAAUUUUCAACAAAAGAACAAAUAUUAGGGCAACAACUAUUAAGAUCUAAAUUCUACAAAAACAUAGUUCAAUCUCCUAAUCACUUUAUUGAUAUAAUCUUCAUGAUUUCCGGUAUCACUUCCUUUACACAUAAUGGCUUAUCUUCUUUUGUCAAAUCAAUUUCCUUUGCAACUUGUAAACAAAUAUUGGAAAAAUAGAAAACCUCUAAAUUAUAUAUGCAACCAAUAAAUACAAUUGAAACAAUGACUUCCACAAAAACACACAAGUUAGGAAAAAAUAGUUAGAGGUUAUCACUUGAGGAUAAGAUGUCCUUCCCUAAUUGAGUGAAGAAACUCUAUAACAAAAUAAUGCUUCAUAAUUGAAAACGAACUCUUCAAGAGUAAUAUAUUUCUAAUUAUGAUAUAACAUUAAAAAGUUAAAAUAACAGGCCAUAAUGAAACUUUAUACAAAUUACAAUAACAAAAUAUAACACUAAUUUAUCCCUUAAAAAGGUUUUCUAAAAUUAGAGGGAGUUUGCCAUAAUGAAACUUUUAAAAUAUGGGGUGUAUAGGAAAGUAAAUAAUCUGAAGCUCACAAUGGAAAUGUCAACACCCAUAUAUUGAUCUGUUUAGCAAACCUUUAUACAGACGUUUACAAACCUAUCUAAGGAAUUUGUACAGCUAAGGAAAUAUCAUGUACAACGGUUACAGAUUUGCUUUACUAAAAAUAAAACAAUUACAUCAAUUUCAGGCCAUGAUACUCGGCUUGAUGAUUGCUGCAAAUCACUUCCAGAUUUGUUGUUGGGGCUUGAUGAUUGCUGCAAAUCACUUCUAGAUUUAAAUCUUAUUCUUGUCUUGUGUCACUUUCCUUAAUACGCCCUCGCAAAAUUGAGCUUCCAUCGGCAAGACCAAUUUUGGCUCUUAGACAUUUUGUGCAUUCCUGGGACAGUGGCUUAGUUAGUAGAUCAGCCAAUUGAUCUUGAGUAUGAACAUAACUCACUUUAAGUGCACCUUUCUGAACUUGAUCACGCACAAAAUGAAGAUCAAUUUGAAUAUGUUUCAUUCUUGAAUGUUGGACCGGAUUGAAGCUGAGAUGAGUUGCUCCAAGAUUAUCACAUAGAAGAGAAGGUGGCAGCUUUAAUGAAAAACCCAAUUCUUGAAGAAGGGCAAGUAACCACAUUGUUUCUGAUGCACCAUUGGCCAGCGCUCGAUAUUUUGCUUCUGUGGUGGAACGAGCAACAACUCGUUGUUUUUUUGAACUCCAUGAGAUGGGAUUGCAACCCAGAAAUGUAAUGUAAGCUGAUGUGGAUGUUCGAUCAUCAAUGUUUUCAGCCCAAUCUGCAUCAGUGUAGGUUAUUAAGCAUGGUGCUGCAGCUGACUUGAGGUGAAGACCGUGAAAGAUUGUCUUCUUGAGAUAUCGAAGAAGUCUCUUAGUGGUAGUCCAAUGAGUGAUUGUUGGCUUGUGCAUAAAUUGAGAGAGCUUAUUAACAGCACAAGAAAUGUCGGGCCGAGUAAGAGAAAGGUAUUGUAAGCUGCCAAUAACACGCCUAUACUCUGUGCUGUUUACAGCAUUCGUGACAUCUACCAAGUGAAGGGAUUGAGUUGUUGACAGCGGGGUAAAGACAUCCUUUGCACCAGCCAUGUGUGUAUUCUCCAAGAUGUCACGAACAUACUUAUGUUGGGAGAGAAAUACACCUGCAGUAGUCGGUAUAACUUCCUGUCCAAGGAAGUAAUGAAGGGAACCCAUAUCUUUCAAGGAAAAUUGGUCACCAAGUUUGGUAACAACAUGAGCUACACACUUCUUGUCAUUACCUGUAAUGACUAAAUCAUCAACAUAAACAAGGAAAUAGCAGACCAUGGAAUCAUGGCGAUAAAUAAAAAGAGAGGAAUCAACUUUAGAAUUUUGGAACCCGAGUGCUAGAAGAGCAGUUUUUAAUGCUGAAUACCAGGCCUUUGGGGCUUGUUUGAGAUCAUAAAUUGCUUUCCUGAGCCGACACACAUAAUCAGGUAGAGACAAAUCUUUGAAACCCGGAGGUUGCAUCAUGUACACAGUUUCAGUCAGAUUUCCAUGUAAAAAAGCAUUGUUUACGUCCAUUUGUUUCAAAGGCCACCCAUUCAUGAUUGCAAUGCUCAACAAUGUCCUUAUGGUGGCUGGUUUAACCACAGGACUAAAGGUUUCAUUAUAAUCAACACUAGGUUGCUGAUUAUAGCCCUUGGCAACAAGCCGGGCUUUAAAUUUAUCAACCGAGCCAUCUGCUUUCCUUUUGACUCUAAACACCCACUUACAACCCACUGGAUGACAAUUGAUGGGGGGAGGAAUUAAAUCCCAUGUACCAUGUCGCAUGAGAGCAGUCAAUUCACUAGACAUGGGUUCAUGCCAUUCAGGGUGAGAUACAGCUUAAGUCGCGCAUGUUGGUUCUAGAGGUAAUGGAAGAUAGUGCUUAGACAUAAUGUGUAAUUGCUUAGGUUUAAAGAUGUUGUUCAUAGAUCUAGUAGUCAUGGAAUGGGUUCGGUGGGAAGUGGGUUUAGUGUGUACAAGAGAUUGUGAAUCAAGAAUUAAAUUAGAUGCAAGUGAAUUUGAAAGAGAAGCAUGCGGAACAGUCAUAUGUAUACCAACAUCUAAGUUCAGAUUCAUAUCACAGGUAUUGUCAUGUGAUUCAUAAUGAAAAGAAGGAGAGAUAGAGGGGGAUAUACCUAGAGGUGGUGCAGGAAUGGCAGCUGCAGGUUCCGAGCUCAGUGGUGGCUGUGAGGAGCGAUCGGGACGAGAUGGAGGAGCAAGAAUGGAAGGAGGAGGGGAAGGAAAUUAGGGCACGGGUUCUGCUGAAGGAAAAGGUGAGGAGCAGAGGAAAAUAAGUGGGUUUCGGCAGAUGGCCCGUGCUUGGUUUUUGAAAGGAAUGGGCUCUGCAAUUCAUCAAAAGUCACAUGCCAUGAGAUAUACAACCGAUUCGUUAAUGGAUCCAUACAUUUAUAGGCAUUUUGUGUUUGGGAAUAGCCGAGAAAAAUGCAAGGGAUUGAUUUUGGUUGUAAUUUAUGGGUAUUGUAUGGCCUUGUGAGAGGGUAACAUAAACAACCAAAUUUUCUCAAUUUGAGAUAAUUUGGUCGUUGACCAAAAAGAACCUCAAAUGGAGACUUGUGUUUAAGAAGAGGGGUUGGUUGGCGAUUUAUGAGAUAAGUGGCUAUUUGAAAGGCAUGGGGCCAAUAAGAAAGAGAUAAAAAAGCAUCGUGAAGCAAGGUGAUACCCGUUUCGACAAGAUGACGGUGACGUCUUUUGGAAACACCAUUUUGUUGGGGGGUAUGGAGGGCGGUGGUGUAGUGGCUUAUGCCAUGAUCGGACAAAUAUUUUUUUAAACUCAAAAAUUCGCCACCAUUGUCUAAGUACAAGCUUUUUAUGGAACACUUGAAUCUUGUUUCAACAAGUAAUUUAAACUGUGGAAAGACUGUAGAAACAAGAGAUUUUGUGGACAUUGGAUAAAACCAUAUAUAUUUGGUGUAAUGAUCCACAAAAAUAAGAUAAUAACGUUCACCAUUUAAACCGGUAAUGUGCACAGGACCCCAAACAUCACUGUAAAUAAUUUCAAGGGGAGAAUGACUUUGAAAACUUGUAGAGCCAAAUGGUUGUUGAUGUACUUUAUUGAUUGAACAUGAAGGACAUGACAAUGGUAAUUUAUUUGUUGUCAGAGGAAGAGAAAAAAGAUUAACAAGAUUUUGAACAACUUUAAUCGAUGGGUAUCCAAGACGCUUGUGCCAUCCAUCGAUUGAAGUCCGUUCAUGCACAUAAGCAACCAUUUUGGGAGUAGAAGGAGCCACCAUGGAGUUGGGAAAAAUGUAGACGCCAUUCUCACACGUACCUCUUAGUAGUAUCGCCCCCGUGGAUCGUGCCUUCACAAGGAAAAAAAAAGGUGAAAUUAAAGAAAAACAUCAUUUUGCUUGGUGAAAUGAUGAACUGAAAUGAGAUUUUUGUGAAUAUUGGGAACGCAUAAAGUAUCAUGUAAAUGAAAUAUUUUUUUGGGUGUGGGUAAUGCUAAAGAACCAAUAUGCGUAACCGCUAAACAUGUACCAUCACCAAGAAGGACUUCAUCAGUGCCAUCAUACUCAGAGUGAAUUGAUAAAUUUUUUAUAUUUCUCGUGAUAUUGUGAGAGGCUGCAGAGUCAAUUAACCAUUUAUUUUCUUGACCAUCAGAAGUUCCUGCACAAUUAACAGUCAUUUCAGAAGAAUUUAAUUGAGGGCAGGCCUUGGCCGUGUGGCCCAUUUGAUCAUAGUACUGGCAUUUGGGCUGAUAGCGUCUCUUAUUAGAGUUGAAUUGGCCCUGAUUGUUGGAACGACGUGGGUCACGAGAUGGGCCAUUUGAGCUGGAAAACCAAUAAUGGCCUUGUGAACGGGGAGACCCAUUUCCCUUGUGAGAAGCUUUCUGUUGCUGAGAUGCAGAAAAGCCAGAGCGUCGGCUUGUGAAAUUUCCAGUGGCCACGAGCUGCUGGGUAGCAGCCUCCAUCCUAUGCAGGUAAUUUUCAUGCCUUAUAAGGAGGUCAUGAAGCUCCUCAAAGGCAAGGGAUUUUUCUCUUGCCCGAAUAGGGGCAGCAAUCUCACGAAAUUCGGGUCCUAACCCGUUGAGGACAUAGAGAGUGAUGUCGUCGUCGGAGAUUGGGUGGUCGAUGAGUGCAAUCUCAUCAACCAGGCCUUUAACAACAUGAAGGUACUCCAGAAUUGGGCGGUUUCCACGCUGAAUCAAGGUGAGUUCUUCCUUGAGUUGCAUGGCCCUUGUACGUGAUUUACUUACAUACAUGGUGGAUAAUUUUUUCCAGGCAUCAUAGGAGGUUUUUGCUGUGGCAAUAAGAGAGGUAAUGGUUGGGGAAGUAGAGGCAAGGAUGGCACUAAGAAUUAAUUUAUCUUGCCUAACCCAGUGGUGUUUCUUGGCUAUAGAUGGUGGGGUGCCAUCAGAGGGAGGGCAACGGGAUUCACUAGUAAUGUAGUCCAUUAGAUCAUAGCCAAUUAGGAGAGCCUUAAACUGAGCUCUCCAUUGGGGAAAAGAGGAAGGUGUGAGUUUCUCAUUGAUCUGAGCUGUGAUGUUAAAAACAACAAGGGGGAUUUCGAAGGUAGGCUGUGUUGGGGAAGACAUUAGGAUCAAAUUCUCGUUGGAGAGAUGCUCUGAUACCAUAUAGGAAAGUAAAUAAUCUGAAGCUCACAAUGGAAAUGUCAACACACAUAUAUUGAUCUGUUUAGCAAACCUUUAUACAGACGUAUACAAACCUAUCUAAGGAAUUUGUACAACAAAGGAAAUAUCAUGUACAACGGUUACAGAUUUGCUUUACUAAAAAUAAAACAAUUACAUCAAUUUCAGGCCAUGAUACUCGGCUUGAUGAUUGCUGCAAAUCACUUCCAGAUUUGUUGUUGGGGCUUGAUGAUUGCUGCAAAUCACUUCCAGAUUUAAAUCUUAUUCUUGUCUUGUGUCACUUUCCUUAAUAGGGUGAACCAAUUUAUUAGCUCAUUGAUCUCCUUCAUCGCGAUUGCAUCAUCCAACGGUUCUUGAUUUGGAUAGUAAAUUAAAUUUACCCAUAAUAACAAUUUUCCUUGUCAAAUUAUAUUUUUCUUACACUUUGCAUAUUUAUAAAUAAGUGAUGUUAAUGUUUCCAAUUCAACUUUCUCAAUCAUAUAAAUAUAAAUUUUUUUUCUUGUUAAAUAAAUUGUAAAUAAAAAGGAUAUUAAGAAAUUAUUUCAAAAUUAAAAUGAAAAAUAUUUUUCCUUCAAUUGAUUCUAAUGAACAAAACUUAAAAAUCAUGUAUUCAUUUUGUAGAAGUGAAUUACAAUCACCGAGUGUCAUAGAAGAUUAAUAUGAUGAUGCCAAUAAAUAAAAUCAAGAAUUGGUAUACAAGUUAGUACAAUUAAAAGAUCUUAAAAAGAGUUUUGAUAAUUUAUUUUAUGACAACAAAGUAAAUAAAUGAUAUAAAAUAUACUUUAUCUCUUUUGGGCUGAGCUCGUGGUGCGCAUGAUGGGAGUGUUAGAACUGUGAAUCUAACAACAUGAAUUCUGAAAGGCCUCAGAACAUAGAUAGGGAUUGUAAAAAGUAAUAAAUUUUUUUUGGGACUUUGAAUCAUAAGGUACAAAGCAUGAAUCAUUUAUUUGAUGGUCAGCAUUAUCCUAUUUUCAACUAAGUGAUCUGCCUCUCUAAUCUAUUACUCUAAUUUCUGUGAUUCAUCAUAUUAAUUUUAUGUAGUGUUAUAGCCCAAAUGAAGUUUGAAUAUUCUACUAGUCAAAUAAAGUUAAAGUGUUAUAGCCCAAAUGAAGUUUGAAUAUUCUACUAGCCAAAUAAAGUUAAUCUUGCUAGUGAAAAAUAAUUAGAAUUCAUUGUCUUCUAUUUAAUAAAAAACUUAUUAUACAUUAAUUUAUAUAUAUAUAUAUAUAUAUAUAUAUAUAUAUAUAUAUAUAUAUAUAUAUAUUAUUUCACUGUUAUUAAAAACUAAUAAAAAUAUGACAUUUAAAAAACAAUACAUUGUCUAAAUAAAAUAAAGAAAAAUAAUUACUUAAUUCAUUAUUAAUUUAUUGGAGAAUCGAUUUUAUUACCUAUUGAAACUAAUUAUAAUAUUUAAUAGUAAAUUUUUUUAAAAUACUAUACUUAUAGAGGUAUUAUUAAAUUUUCUACCAUAUAAAAAUAAUUAUAUAUUAUCCAUAAUAAAAACAAAGCUGAGUAUUUUCUUUUUUAAUUUUGUUAUAGAAAAUAGCAAUCCAAAAUUAAGAAUCUAUUAAUAUUAAAAAGUCAAACUUUAUAUAUAAGUUAACCACUAACAAUCCAAUUUAAUAGUUAAGACCCAAAAACGUUUGAAAUUAAGAAAACUAAAUAUUCUAUAAUUGUUUUUUUAGGGAAGAAUCAUUCACAAAAUCACUGCUUUCCAAUUGGAGGACUCCACUUCAAACCACAAACAGAGAUGAAGCUCCCAUUAUCCCAAUUCACCAAAGCCCUAACAUAUCGCUCACCACUCUCUUUCUCUUUGAAAUUGGAACAAAGCCAAACCUGUACAUACCCAAAUAAACAUUAAACUAAAUUAAAAAUUCAAAGCCCCAAACUCAAUUUUGAAACAAUUUUUUUUUGCAUAUUUGUAGCUAAUUCAUCCACUUUCCCUACAACCAAACACUAUAAAUGAAAAACCACUUACUUCAAUCUAAAGAGACCAAUGAAACCUAAGAUUUUGAAACAACAGAAUCUUUACUUCUCCCUUUACUUCACUUUCUCUUAUCUCGUUGUGGACCUGCAUUUUUCACAUGCGUCCCCACUCGAUUGGCGAGACUUGUUUUUAUUUUAUGAAAAAUUUAGCUUUUGGAAAAAAUUCGGAGUCGCCACUUAUUUUAUUUUAUUUUAAAAGGGAAAAUAAAACAAAAAAGAAAACCUUAAAAAAUGACUCCAUAGUUUUUGGAAAAGCAUGUCUUUGAAAAACCUGAGUCUAGGUCUAGGGAUCAGGUUACCUAUUGGGAAGGUACCUCUAAAAGGUAGCACCCCUCUAAGCCUUACAAAGGUCUCUACUGACUAAGUUGGGGGAAAUGUAGCAAUUAAUUGAUUUAAUUGAGGGUACCUAGGUAGGCUAGGGUGAUUUCAAAAAGUAGCAUGCCAAACAAGAUCAAAUCACAAUAAAGAAGAUUUUGGAUGCAUACCCAAACCACUUCUCAAGCGCUAUCAUAAAACAUCAGAGUUAGUAUAGCGAAUCAAGCAUACAUCUAAGCACCUAAGGAUCAUAUCAAGCAUAAAUAAGGCUCACAACAACAUGCAUGUUCAAGGAAUCCCGGAAAGUAGUGAUAGAGAGCAUACCUGAAUAUCAUGCAUAAUUUAUAAGAUUCCUCCAAAAAUGUUAGAAUGGUUAGAACAAGUAUGAAUUAUAUAACAUAUUCAUAAUGUCUAAUACACAGUACCAAAGUCAAAAUUGAGCUAAGGUAAGUCAAAUGACUCCAAAAAUAAAUAACUAAUUCAAGCAAUGUACAAGAUCAUCAACAUGCAAUUAGAAAAGGGAGCAUAAAAAAAACAAUUUCUAAAAAAUGAUUUAGAGUGGAAUUUAAUUAUGAAAAUUUUCAAGAAACAACUCCUAUCCAUCUAGAUCAACAUACCGAAGGCCAAACUCUCAUUCAAAGGACAGAUUGCAGCAAAGACACCUAAAGGUUCUACAAAGUCCAGAUUAGAGAAGAAAAAAUAACAUGUAUAAAUGAAUUUUUGAAAAACAAUAAAUGAUCACAUAAAAUCAUAAAUAAAAAAAAAAAAAAAACCACCCACAUAUUCAAAGUGUCUAUAUCACAUAAAAAAUGAAUCCAAGGUCGGAUAGUACUCAAAAAUAUUUUUAAAACAUUCAAGCUAAUCAGAUGUCCAGAAUUCAGCAUGUGCAAUAGGUACGAUUUUGAAAAAUCAUAUCUCCCUCAAAAAAGAAUAUUUUUUAAUAGUUUAUGUGUCUAAGAUAAAUUUCAAGAACCCUAAAAUUAACGAAAAAUAGAGAAUCAAAUUUUAAAAGUCAUCUAUUAUUUUAUUUUUUCAAAAAGAUCUCGGGUGUCCAGAACUAGGUGAAAACAGAGCCCCCCAUUCCCCCCUCCCCUAAAGAUAAGUUUAUAUCUUCUAUUCCAGAAUGGUUUUCUAACUCAAAAAAAAAAAAAUUUAACUCAAGUUCAAGAAGUGAGGAAAAUCAUACAAGUUUUGAAUUUUUCUUUAAGAGCAUUUUGAAAUUGCUAUAAUGAAUUUUAACACUAAAUGGUUAGUGGUUGAGUGGAAACUGGCAGCAAGGAAGAGUUUUGAAGAGUUUUCUUAUGUAGGGGUUUCACCAAUUCCCCAAUUGAUAUACACAAAUCUAGCCCAAAAUUAUCCCAUUUAUUUGAAUUUAUUUGCAUAGCAAUACAUUGUAGCCCCCUCUUAGAAAUAAAAGAAUGUAUGUCAUGCGGGCAUGCUACCAACCGCUAUCUUUCUCUGAGACAUGCAUGGGACCUACCAAUGAAUGGUGAUAUUUUCUUUUCCCUUGUUAUAAAUGUUAAUAAUGAUCGUCUCUCCUUUUGUAUUAAAAUAACAAGAAUAAUGUAAAGUUGUAAAAUAUUGUGUCUAGGAUUAUUAUAUAAUUUGUCAAUUUCUUGGAUUGUUAAAAGUCUACAAAGAUAAUGUUGUAGAAUAAUCUUUGAGAUAUGCAAUGGUGGAAUUUGCCAUGGAAGUCUUCAUUUGACAACUUUUGACCAUUCCAAUUUUAUUCAACAUGAUAAAAUAUCAUGUUGUGAAAAAGGUCAUGAAAUGAUUUGUUUAAUUUUUACUUUUACAACUCAAAAUAUUUUGCAAAUAAGAAAAUUUUAAUGAAGUCUUUAACAAUUAAGAUAAAAUCAGUUUUUUUUCUACUUAUUUAUUUCAAAUUAAAAUAAGCACUUUUUUCCUAAAUUUAAAAUAAUUGAUAAUAAUUUAUAUUUUUACCUCCUAUUUUAGUAAUAAUAUCACAAGACUACACCAGAUAAAGGAAAAGGAAAAAACAAAUAAAAGAUAAAAAAUAAAAAAUUUUCCAUUUCCAUUGCAUGGGGACAAAUUGAGUCUAACCGCACACUGAAGGAACUCCAAUUCUAUUUUUAGUGAUUUAAUUACUUUUUAAACCCUCAUUUUUUUUUUUUUUUUUUUUUUUACAUUAGACCAAACCCUUUCCUGCUUCCUUAAUUUAAAUAACUAGUAAAAACAAAUCAUAUUUAAUUUUUUGUUUUUUAAAUGUAACUUAAAAAAAAUAUUUGGAAAUUAUUUUUAAGUGAUUUUUUGGAUUUUUAAAAGUGAUUUUCAAAUAUAUAUAUAAAUUUAAUUUGGAUUGACUUUUAAGAGUUAAAUAAAAGUUUUUAUACCUAUUUAUUUAUUUUUUUAAAAAAAACUUGUAACUUUAAAAAAAAAAAAAGUUUCAUGUAGAAUUCAUAAAAAUGUUAUUUCUUAUAAGAAUUUUAUAAUUCCAUUUUUUUUAUAUAAGAAGUUCUUUCAUGUUUAAUAAAACUUUUACAAUAUCAAUAUUUCCCCUUUAAAAUUAUUACUUUAGUUUUUAUUUUAAUUUUCAGUUAAAGCAAAAAUUAUGAAGCUAUCCCGAAUUUGACCUUACCAUCCACCUAAUUAAUUUUUGUAAGAAAGAGUUACUUUUUAAUAUUUAGAAGGGCUUUUAUUUAUUUAUUUUUAAAUCAUUCCCAAAUGAAAUUUAUAAGAAACAAAUAAAAAGUUUGCUCCAAUAUUAGAAAAAAAUUGUUGACUAAGGAUUCCUCUUGUAUUAAAAUAACAAGAAUAAUGUAAAGUUAUAGAAUAUUGUGUCUGGGAUUAUUAUAUAGUUUUUCAAUUUCUUGGAUUGUUAAAUGUCUACAAAUAUAAUGUUGUAGAAUAAUCUUUGCGAUAUGCAAUGGUGGAAUUUGCCAUGGAAGUCUUGAUUUGACAACUUUUUCCCAUUCCAAUUUUAUUCAAUAUGAUAAAAUAUCAUGUUGCAUUAGAAAAGUUUGAAAUUAUCUUUCAUUUGACAUUUUUUACUUAUCCACAUUUUAUUCCAAUUCCAUACAAGGUUAGGUAUCAUAGCAAUAAUUAAAAAAAUUAUAAAUGAUAUAGUUUAGAUUAAUUGGAUUUUUUAAAUAUUUUAAAAUUAGACUAUGAUGUAAAUGGAUACUUGUGAAAAAGGUCAUGAAAUGAUUUGUUUAACUUUUACUUUUACAACUCAAAAUAUUUUGCAAAUAAGAAAAUAUUUUUGAAGUCUUACACAAUUGACAUAAAAUCAGUUUUUUUUUCUAUUUAUUUAUUUCAAAUUAAAAUAAGCACUUUUUUCUAAAUUUAAAAUAAUCGAUAUAUAAUUUAUAUUUUUACCUCCUAUUUUAGUAAUAAUAUCACAAGACUACACUAACAUAAAGGAAAAGGAAAAAAAAUAAAUAACUAAAAUAUCUUUAUAGACUUUUAACAAUCCAAGAAAUUGACAAAUUAUAUAAUAAUCCCAGACACAAUAUUCUACAACCUUACAUUAUUCUUGUUAUUUUAAUACAAGAGGAAUACUUAGUCAACGUUUUUUUUAAACAAAGAGCUGAAUAAUGCAAACAUUCAAUGAAAUCUUUGGCAUGUUAAUUCUUUGUAGCUUCAACAUGGUGGCAUGUCAGAUGGCGAAGGCAGCACUUGAGCUUCUGGGUGUUUACCAUUUUUCACUAUGAACGCAGUGUCCAUGCCCCAAGUCUGAUGGCGUUCUACAUGGCAGUGCAUGAACCACACUCCUGCAACAGAGAAAAUAUACCAACAUUACACCUAACUUAUUGC
rnacentral:lncRNA from 1 species